rnacentral:lncRNA from 1 species
ACUUUUUUUUGUUCAUUUUGAACUUAACAACAAGGUCCAUUUUGAUCAUUAAACUUGAAUAAUCUAAAAGUUUGAUGAUGUGGCACUAUGAGUUUGAAAAAUAAAAAAAUAAUAGAUAAUAUUAUGAUAUAGUCUCAGAGUGUCAUAUUCAGUGUUUUAAUAUUGAACCCAUGGUUGAAUAGGUUAGACCACUGGUUCUCAAUUCACUCAGUUCAAUAGGUUCGACUAUCGAACCAACAAUAAAUAAAUAAAUAAAUAAUUAAAAAAAUCAUAAAAAAUAUAUAUAAAAAAUAAAAAUGAUUUUAUUUUUUUAUAUUUUUAUGAAUUUUUAAUUAUUUAUUUAAUUAUUGUUGGUCUGAUGGUCGAAUUGGUUGAAUUAAUAACCGGUAUUCUAACUUAUUUAACCAUCGAUUCAAUUAUUAUAAAACUGAAAAUGACACUCUGAUAUUGUACCACAUCAUCAUCUGUUUUUCUUUAAUUUUUCAAGUGAUGAUGUUGCACAAUUCGAUUAAUUUAAACAAAUUGAUUAGUGACAUUAGAAUGUGGCUUAAGUGAAUCUUAUAUGACAUGCUUAAAUGGGCUCAACAUUAAUAAGGAAAAGGAUAAGUAGGUUUAUCCUUGGCUACUUACUGAGCUUUUAAAGCUCACUUGUUAGUUAUUUAAAACGUGUAGGUAAAUGACCUUGUACGAUAAGCUUGAAGCUUUGUUCGGGAGUAUUACAUCGGCCAUCAAGUUUUUAAGGUUAUUCUUUAAAUAUUAAAUGAUAUUUGUAUAGGCUAUUGGCAUAUACAUAGAGACUUAGAUUAUUUUAAGUGUUCGGAUUUGUAAAAUCAAGUGUUGUUUGUAACCUCCUUGAAAGGUUAAGAAAAGUUUUUGAAUUAAAAAUUGGUUUGAACAUGUUUAUGACUUGGAAUUUUGUUUAAAUAUGAUUUAGAAAUGUUUUUAAAUGUUUUGAAACCAUGAGAUAUGAUUUGAUGAUAUUUAAUAAUGUUUUAUAGUAUUUUUGAAGUGUUUUGGGGACAUUAAGUGAGUGACGUUGUGACUACAAAGUUGCAAAGAUGCAGCUAUGUAGCCCAACUUCACGACUUUGCAUUCCCAUCGUCACAACCCUAUUAACUCAAUUAGUCACGCCGUGACAUCAUAAGUCCUUCAUUGCAACGUUGUGCCCUUGUAGCAACCCUACACAAAUUUAAGUCGUUUUGAUCUUUCGGGGUAUGUUUUUAGUUUCGAUCGCUCCUAGUCAACUCCAUAUCAAUUUCUAAAUGUUUUAAAUUGUUUUUAAAAUUUUCAAUUUGAAUAAAGUUAUUUUAAAGAAAUUAUUUAAGCUUUUAAUUCUUAAAUAAAAACGAGAUAUCUUACUCGUACAUGCUCUGGUGGCAUCUGUCAUUCGUACCGACUGUCGGGACAGGGGAGGAGUGUUACAUCAAGACACAAGAGAGAGAUACCCAAGCAUCAAACACAAGAGAAAAGUCUUCAAAUGUUCACUCUUUCAUUUCUCUUGUAAAUAUUCUUUGGAAGCUUAUUGCUAGAUCUUUUAUCACUCUCAUUUUCAUUUCUUUGAGAGCUUUUUUUUUGUAACACCUUAUACAAGUUUCUUUGUUCACUUUCUUUUUUUUUACCAACUAUAAAUUGAGAAGGUUUUAGUUGAACCGUAAAAACUAAAAGUUUUAGUUUAGUCAUAAAAGCUAGAGAGAAAUUUCAUCUAAAACUUAAGAAAAAGAUAGUACUGUAAAGGUUAUACAUUCUUCUUGAAAGACAUCAAGUUUUAUAGUGAAUUGAGAAACCCUUAGUUAAAGUAAACAAUUGUAAAUUAAAUAAUUCAAACUUAAACGUGAAUUAAGGACAUGUGUUGGUUCCAUCAUCACUCUUAUAAAAUGUAAAAUCUACAUUAGUGUACCAAAUAAUUAUCUAAUAUAUAUUAGUUUGUUUAUUGAAUUUACUUUUAUUCUUUUAUUCCUAAUUUGUAGGGACAAUUAUGAAUUUUGUAUUGGAGGGUCAAGAUAAAAUUUACAAAAUUUGGUGUUAAAAUGAUUUAAAUCGAGUAAUUAAUUUUUAGGAGGGGUAAAAGAUGAAAAUUUUAAUUUAAUCAAGUUGUUAAAAUGAACUAUACCGAAUUAUUAUGUUUUAAGUAGGACAAAAAUAGAAUUAGACCAUUUAAUCAAAGGGGGACAAGGUCCUAGAUAUAAUUAAGGACCAAAUAGUUAUAAUAAAAACCUUUUUUUUCAGGUCCUAAAUAUUGUUAGAGUUGUGUGACCCAAAUUCUAAGAGAUUGCUUGCAAGUCAAGCUAAACAAAAUAUAUCUUUUUUCUAGAAAAUUUAGUAUUUAUGAGUAUAAUAUAUUUAACAUUUAUUAGCAUAAUAUAUUUGAAUUUGAUUAGAAUUAGGUUUUUUCAACCUAUAAAUAGAUGCAGGCGAAACUCCUCUUGUAAUCAUUCGAAUUUGACAUAGUGAAUUUUUUUCUCCUCUGCCCGUGAUUUUUUUCUCGAAAGGGUUUCCAUGUAAAAAUUUGUGUGUUCUUUAUUUUUAUUUCUCUUUCUUUGUGAUAUAUUGUCAUUACCGACGUUUUAUUUUUAUAAAUUGGUAUCAAAGCUUCCGGGUUGUUCAUCUUGAUCACGGUAAUGACGUCUUUGAAGUAUGAAAUUCUGCUGUUGGAUCGCAACACCAGAUUUAUGUUAUGGCAGAAUAAGAUGCAAGCAGUUCUUGCGUAGAUGGGUCUGGAGGAUGCCCUGCUAGGGAUAGAUAAGAUGCCUUCGACAUUAACAGAUGAAGAGAAGAAGCGUAAAGAUCGAAAGGCGUUAACACAAUUACAUCUGCAUUUGUUUAAUGAAAUUUUGCAGGAUGUGAUAAAGGAAAAGACUGCCGCUGCAUUAUGGAAGAGGCUAGAACAAAUAUGUAUGUCGAAAACUCUAACCAGCAAGGUGCAUAUGAAGCAGCAUCUUUAUGCUCAUCGUUUGGAAGAAGGUGUGUCUGUGCACGAACACUUGACAGUGUUUAAAGAAAUUCAUUAAAACUUGGAGGCCAUGGAGGUUCAGUAUGAUAAGGAAGAUUUAGGGUUGAUUCUACUUUGUUCGUGGCCUCCAUCUUAUUCAACCUUUAGAGACACGAUUUUAUAUAGUCGUGAGUCUCUCACAAUUGAUGAGGUCAGGAACGGAAUCCUCACGAUAAAUCUAAGGGUAGAUCGAAGUCUUCAAACAGAGGUAAAACUUGUAACUUCUGCAAGAAGAAAAGGACACAUUAAAUCUGAGUGCUAUAAGCUACCAAAAAAUAUCAAAAGGGAGGCUGCAAAUCAAAAGGGAAAACAACCAGAAAAUUUUGGUAAAGCUGAUGUUGUAGAAUACUACAGCGAUGAUGAACUUCUAGUCGCUUCUGUCAACAAUUCUAAAGUGAGAGAGGAGUGAAUCCUUGAUUCGGGAUACACCUUCCACAUGAGUCUCAAUCGGGAUUGGUUUACAACUUAUGAAACAGUGUUUGAAAGUGUUGUUUUGAUGUGAAAUAAUGUUUCGUGUAAAAUUGUAGGUGUUGGAACGAUUAAAGUUAAGAUGUUUGACGGAGUUGCCAGAACACUUAAUGACGUGCGACAUAUUCCAGAAUUGAAGAGAAAUUUAAUUUUGUUGAGUACUCUUGAUUCAAAAGGGCACAAAUACAUAGCUGAAGAUGGGAUUUUGAAGAUUUCCAAAGGUUCACUCGUUGUGAUGAAAGGGAAGAGAAAGACUGCCAAGUUAUAUAUUUUUCAGGGUUCUACUUUUACUUGUGAUGCAGCUGUCACUUCGUCUUCCUUGUUAGAUGGUGAUAUUACUAAACUUUGGCAUAUGUGCCUAGGACAUAUAAGUGAGAAUGACAUGACAGAAUUGAGCAAAAGAGGACUUCUUGAUGGGUAAUGGAUUUGCAAACUAAAGUUCUUUGAGCAUUGUGUUUUUGGGAAGCAAAAGAGAGUUCGAUUCACUAGAGGAAUCCAUAACACGAAGGGAACAUUGGGGUAUAUUCAUUCUGAUCUGUGGGGGCCAUCCAGAGUGCCUUCAAGAGGUUAAGCUAAUUAUAUGCUAACUUUUAUUGAUGAUUUUUCCAGAAAAUUUUGGGCGUUCUUCUUGAAGCAGAAAAGCGAUGUGUUUUCUGCAUUUAGGUCUUGGAAAACUAUGAUUGAAAAACAAAUGGAAAAACAAAUAAAAUACCUCCGUACAGGCAACGGCUUAGAGUUCUGUUUUGAUGAGUUUAAUAAACUGUGCAAGUCAGAAGGGAUCGUGAGACACUUGACAGAUCAUCAUACUCCACAGUAAAAUGGCGUUGCAGAAUGAAUAAAUAGAACGAUCAUGGAGAAGGGUAGAUGUAUAUUGUCAAAUACCAACUUACGAAAGUCGUUUUGGGCUGAAGCAGCCUCUACUGUAUGUUUUUUGAUCAAUUGAUCUUCAUCCGUUACCAUUGAGAAAAAGACUUCACAAUAGGUAUGGUCUGGUAAUCCUGCUGACUAUUCUGAUUUAAAGAUCUUUGGGUGUCCUGCGUAUUCUCAUGUUGAUAAUGAAAAAUUGGAACCGAGAUCCAUUAAAUGUGUUUUUCUUGGUUAUAAAGCUGGUGUAAAAUGGUAUAAGUUAUGGUGUCCUGAAAAUAGAAAAGUUAUGAUUAGCAGAGAUGUUGUUUUUGAUGAAACUGCUAUGCUACCUAACUUAUCUCUUAAAGACUCUUCCAAUAAAGAAAAUCAAAAGUAGGUGGAGCAUCAGAUUAAUCUAGAAUCUACAACAGAGUCGAUUCCUCCAGCCAGUACAAAAAUUUAGAAUAGAGUUGCUUAUUUACCACAAUACUCUAUCGCCAAAAAUAGAACUAGAAGAGAAAUUAAACUUCCAAAGAAGUAUGCUAAGGCUGAACUAGUUGCUUAUACUGUAAAUGUGGCUGAAGAUACAGAUACAAACCAAGAGCCAUCUAAUUAUUCUAAGGCGGUUAGAUGUGAAGACUCAGAAAAGUGGAUGUAUGCUAUGCAAUAGGAGAUGGAAUCACUCCACAAAAAUAGAACAUGGGAUAUUGUGAACCUUCCUAAAGGUAAAAAGGUUGUUCAUUGUAAAUGGGUGUUUAAAAAGAAAGAAGGGGCUCUAAGAGUUGAAGAACCCAGAUAUAAAGCAAGGCUUGUUGCAAAGGGUUACAGUCAAAUUCCAGGAGUGGACUUCACAAAUGUGUUCUCCCCAGUUGUGAAGCAUAGUUCGAUUUGAGCUUUGCUUGGUAUUGUAGCCAUGCAUGAUUUAGAGCUUGAGCAGUUAGAUGUAAAAACUGCAUUUUUACAUGGAGAACUUGAGGAGGAUAUUUACAUAUAACAACUAGAGGGUUUUACAUUCUCAGAAAAAAAAAAGACUAUAUUUGCUUGCUGAAAAAGUCCCUUUACAGUUUGAAACAUUCACCAAGACAGUGGUACAAGAGGUUUGAUUCCUUUAUGACUUUUCAUGAUUUCAAAAGAAUUAGUUUUGAUAGUUGUGUUUACUUUAAGAAAAAUAGUGAUGGUUUUUUGUGUAUCUACUCCUUUAUGUUGAUGACAUGUUGAUAACAGCAAAAGAUAAAGGAGAGAUAAGAAUGGUCAAAGCCCAACUAAGUGAAGAAUUUGAGAUGAAAGAUUUGGGACUAGCAAAGAAGAUACUUGGUAUGAAGAUUCUCAUUGAUAGAAAAGCAAGUAAAUUGUACCUAAGUCAGAAAUGGUACAUUGAGAAAGUUCUUUGCAGGUUCAAUAUGCAGAGCGUUAAGCCUGUUAGUACUCUUUUAACAUCCCAUUUCAGACUUUCAUAAGCUUUGUCUCCACAAUCAGAUGAUGAGAUUGAGUACAUGUCACAUGUUCUAUUCUCUAGUACAGUGGGAUCUCUCAUGUAUGCUAUGGUUUGUUCACAUCCAGAUUUAUCAUAUGCAGUCAGUGUAGUUAGCAGAUACAUGACGAAUCUCAGUAAAGAACAUUAGAAAGUAGUUUAGUGGAUUUUAAGAUACUUACGAGGUACUACUGAUGUUUGCUUACAGUUUGGAAGAACAAGAGAUGGAGUCAUUGGGUAUGUUGAUGCUGAUUUUGCUGGAGACCUUGAUAGAAUAAGAUCUCUCACAGGUCAUGUCUUUACAAUCGGAGGUUGUGCAAUUAGUUGGAAAACCACUUUGCAAACUACAGCCGCUUUGUCUACCACUGAAGUUGAGUACAUGGUCAUUAUUGAGGCUUGUAAAGAAGCUAUUUGGUUGAAGGGACUCUUUAGUGAACUCAAUGAAGACCUUCAAAUCAGUACAAUAUUUUGUGACAGACAGAGUGCCAUCUUCCUUACAAAAGAUCAAAUGUUUCAUGAGAGAACAAAACACAUUGAUGUUCGAUAUCAUUUUGUUUGUGAUAUUAUUGCUCGUGGUGAUAUUGUUGUGAGCAAAAUUAGUACUCAUGAAAAUCCUACAGAUAUGAUGACUAGGUCACUUCCUAUAACCAAUUUUGAGCAUUGCUUAGACUUGGUUGGUGUUCAUUGUUGAAGUUAAACCCUUAAGGGGUUUUAUGGAAGAGGUGAAAAACUUGUUCAUUGAGAAUUCGUGUCAAGGUGGAGAUUGUUAGAGUUGUGUGACCUAAAUUCUAAGAGAUUGCUUGCAAGUCAAGUUAAACAAAAUAUAUCUUUUUUCUAGAAGAUUUAGUGUUUAUGAGUAUAAUAUAUUUAGCAUUUAUUAGCAUAAUGUAUUUGACUUUGAUUAGAAUUAGAUUUUUUCAACCUAUAAAUAGAUGUAGUCAAAACUCCUUUUGUAAUCAUUCAAAUUUGACAUAGUGAAUUUUUUUCUCCUCUGCCCGUGAUUUUUUUCUCGAAAGGGUUUCCAUGUAAAAAUUUGUGUGUUCUUUAUUUUUAUUUCUCUUUUCUUUGCGAUAUAUUUUCAUUACCGACGUUCUAUUUUUACAAAUAUAAUUAAGGACCGAAUAUAUAGCAUAUAGCUAAAGAGUAAAGAACCACAAUCCUUGCUUGAAACAAAGGCAAAUACGGAGAGGCAGAAAUGUUUAAUCAAGCGUCAGACCAGUACAUCUCCAUUUCACCACGUUUAUCUCCAUACACUCCCAAGGUAUCCCAAAUUGCAUCUAAGGCAUCGACAAUGUUAUUGGCACACGGAGGUCGUGUUCAUCAUCACAUCCCAUUGUGGAGUCACAUUUAUUGAUUACCUUAGCUUUAAUAGUUUUUCCAUUACAGUGAAUGUUAAUAUAAUUCAAACACCGUUUUUUCUUGUUGAACCACCCCGUCGAAAGCGCCACGAUCAGUUCUGAAUCUUUAUGAUAGUUGUUGUCACAUUCACAUAGACCGCCGCUGUCCUCCUUCGGACCAGAUCCAUUGAGAGUCAAAAUCGCCUUCGUAUGACUUGGAACCGGUGGCGAACAUGUAUACGUGUUGUAAAACUUGCCUUCUUUGCAACAAUCAGAAUCAUGGCCUUUGUUACAUUUACCUGGAGGAGGCUUUUUCCCUCUAAGCUAACCGCUGGGUUUGCAUGUAUCUGCUUCCACCAUGAAACAAUUUGUAAUAACUAAAACAAAGUAAAUAAAAAGAAAAAUAGUGGAAAAACCCUUCAUAGUCAUAUACUUUUGUUAACUAAUCCUUGUAAUUAUACUAUUUCUUGGUGCAAAGAACAUGAAAAUGGUGGGUUUAUACAGCCAUAAUUUUAUCAAAAGUAUCGUAAGAAGAUGCACAAUGUGUCACAAAAGGUUAAAUUUUGCCACAUUUUGCACAGGUGGAAUCAUAAAAAGGUUAAAAUAUAUGACUUGGUCUAAAAUUAGUGUAAUUGCGUAAAUGCAUUUUUUGAUUGAAUACUAAUGAAUAAACUAUUGGAUUAGGGUUUUUAGAAUAAAUAAAUCUCAAACUUUAUUAAAAUAUAAGGAUUGGGUACAUAUUUUGACCUAAAAAAUUUAUUGAUGGCUUUGGGUCAAAUAAUGUUGAAAAAUAUAUAUUUCUUAAAAAAAUUUAAGUAAUAAAUCAAUUGAAUCUUAAGGGCUAUUGUGGAUGGACGGUAAAUUUAUCUAUGAUUAGAAUGAAAACAAUCGUAGCGGUAAAAUUAGAUACUGUAACGAAAUUAUAAUACUGUAAUUGUUGACACCAUUUUUUUUUGGUAAAACAGGGUCGACUUGGAUUUUAAAAACAAAAAAUGAAAAAACGGGAGUCGCCACCAAUCCUUUUUUAUAAGGUGUGAUCGGGUCACCUUGAAAAGUGGUUGUUUUUAAUAAACGAUUUGAUUUUAUUAAAACAACGAUUUUGGUCCACGAAAUUCAGAAAAACAGGUUCGGGAGUCGGUUACGUACGAGGAAGGAUUAACACCCUCGAUACGCCCAAAAUUGGUACCUAGUUGAUUACUUAAUGUCUUAGUGUCGAAAAAUGAAAAAUUUAAAGAGAUUUUAAAUACGAUCCAAAAAAAAAAACUUGAAUGACAUGGAUUAAGAUUUAAGAGGAUAUUUGGCUAUUUGGUCAAACGAAAUAAUCGAAACCCAGCACAUUAGGGCACGUUUCCUCGAAUUUCCAAACGCAAAAUAUUGCCUUACUUUAAAAUUUUAAAGGAUAUUUGGCUAUUUAGUCGAACGAAAAAAUCGAAACCCAACACAUUAGGACACAUUUUCUCGAAUUCCCAAAUGCAAAUAUUGCCUUUAUUAUUUUUUAGAAAUCCUCAUAUCGAGAAAACAACAUGUCAUAUCCAAUGCGUUAGGACACAACGUAUCGAAUUCCCGAUAUGAGAAUACAUGCCGAAAAGUUUACUUAUUUAAAAGAUAUUUAACUAUCUCGGAUUUAGAAAAAGGUAUCACGCCCAGUAAGUUAGGACACGAUCUUUUCUUAAUUCCCGAGAUCGUUUAAAACUUGAGUUUGAAAAGAUUCGUGUAUUUAAAUUUAUUAUGAAAAUCGAAACCCAGUAAGUUAGGGUACGACCUUCUCGAAUCUAAACACGAGAUUUUGCUUAUUCAAAAAUCAUAGUUUAUGCAUCGAAUAAAAUUAAUCUAACAUGAAAUAGUAGAAAUGAAACUCGAUAUUAAUACGCGUAACAAGAUAAUGAAUUUGAUAAUGUGAGCAUAAAUAAUACGAGCUAUAGAAACAAAAUAAAAUAAAUGAAAUACAAACCAAUAACAUACGAGAUAACAAGCAUGUAAGUAAAUAAAAGUAAAACAUUCUUUUAAAAUAAUAAUGAAAAUGUAAAUAAAGAAAUAAAUAAAGAAAACGAAUAAGCUUAUAAAAAAAGUAAAAGAUAUAUAUAUUUGUACGUAUAUGUAUAUAUAUGUAUAUAAAAAUUGUAAGAUAAAAAAUACACAUAAGUAUAUAUAUAUUCGUGAAAAUAAAAACGUGUAUAUAGAUAUAGAUAUAUAUAGGUAUGUAUAUAAAUUACAGAAAUAUAAAAAAAAAUAUAGGUAUGUAUAUAAAUCAAAGAUAUGUAUGUAGAAUAAAAAUAGUUUAUUACAAUUUACAUAUAUAUACAUAAAAUAAUAUUGUAUAAAAAUAUUAUUGAUUUUUAAAGCAUAAAAGUAUAUAUAAAAUAAAAUAUUUUAAAAAUGUAUUAUAAAAUAAAAUCAUUUAAAAUAUAUAGACAAUAUUGAAUUAGUAUAAAAACAUAAACUAAUACAUUAUGAAAUUAGAUAUAAUAUAUGACAAAAAGAAUUAAAAUAAUAGUAAAUAACAUAACAUAACAUAAUAAAAUAAAAUAAUAUAUAUAUAAAAAGGUAAAUAGAUAUAUAAACUAAUAAAAUGACGACAACAACAACAACAACAACAACAACAACAACAACAACAACAACAACAACAACAACAAAACAACAAUAGAAAAGGAUUAAAUUGUGACACGCGUGAAAGGAGGGGGACCAAAACAGAAAUAUCCCGCCCUUCAAAACGCAUCACUUUGAACGGGACUAAAAUGAAACAAAAGUAAAAUUAUGCGGCUAAAUUAAAAAAAAGAAAAGGAAGAAAAAGGGUCGAAUUGCAACGCGUCGCAAAGGAGGAAUGACUUCUCGCACAAAUAUACCAUUGGUUGAAAACACGCGGAUUCUCUAGGCGGGUCGGGUCGCAUGCGCGGGUUGAGCACGAAACGGCGUCGUUUUGGUGCCUGGGCUUAUGGCUAAAAACGACGUCGUUUUAUUUAUGCAUAUUCUAAAAAACAAAAGUAAAAAAAAAACGGAUAAAUAAAUUUUAAAAAAAUAGAAAUAAAAAAAUAACCUUCGCUUUUUCUUUGCUCUUUUUUGUUUCCUUCUGAAUUUUUUUUAUUUUUAUUUUGCUUUUGUGUCUUCCAAAGAGAAAAAAAGAUUUUACAUUGAAGAUCAAGGCCUUUUUAUAGCCGAUUUGAACAUUUUACAAUUAUUUAAACUGUCAUUUUUUCUUUUCUAUUUGUUGCUUCUGCUGCUGUUGCGUGUUCUUUUCAUUUUGCAGAUGAUUGAUGGGCGGCGAAGCAGGUGGGUGGGUGGCAGACGCACGGCGGUGGUAGAAAGCAGGUGGCUGCGACGGCAGGCACCAGAAUGGCUAGGGUUUUAGCUUUUCUGAAACCCUAGUUUGACUUGGUUUGUUAGGCUGGGGUGAUAUUGGGCCUAUUUUGGUUGUAAUGGGUAGGGGUUUAGGUUUGGGUUUCAAUUGGGUAUUGGGUUAGUUGGGUUAAAAUUUGUAAAUGGGCUCCGGGUCAAAAUGGGCAUGUAACAGUAAUAAUACUAUAAUAUUAAAUAUUAUAGCGAUACUGUAACGUACAUUCAAAAACCGCCUUUAAUUUAGUUUAAUAACUCUUAUAGCAAUUUAACUAAUGUAGAUUUAAAUGUACUCAUACGUAACAAUCUCCGGAUAGGAGAGAAUCUGCGGGUAGGUGAAUAAGAUAGAAUGGAAUCUGGCUAAAGACAUUUAAAUUCCCGAAAGCAACACUAAUAAGCAAUAAUUGGUAGAAUCUUUUUAUUUCUCUUUUUGGAUUUUAAUAUGAGAUAACCUAGGAAACAUGUAAAGGAGAUUCCUCAAAUAAAGAUUGUCAUAAUAUUGAGCUUUGAUUUUAGCAUAAAUGGCAUCUUCCUUAACGAUUACACAGGUAUAAAAGAGAAAAAUAUUUAAAGUUUGGUGGUGAGCUAUUUAUUUUGAUGUAAACAUAAGUUUAUUAGUGAUUGAAUAUGUUUUCUUUUAGAAUGUUGUAAUGUCUUUUGAACGCUGUUCUAUUUAUUGUUUUAUAACAGAACAGAUCGAAUGAAGGAAAAAAAAAGCAUAUUCAUCUCCAAAAGCAUCUGUCUGUCCAUAUAUGUUUUAAGAGAAUUUAUGCUGUUGUUCCCCAUAGUAAUUAAUGGUUAAGAUUUAAAGAUAUAAUUUUAAUGCUUUUGAUGUCUAGGAAAUGGGAGAUUGAGUUUUAGUUGAGUUCACGUGGUUAUUACGUUAUUAUUAAGAACUGCAAUCUAACAACUCCUUCCCCACAUGUAUCAGUCUAGAAGAAAGGAAGUAAGCUCGCGGGUGGGGAAUUCAAGACCACCAUAUCCAAGUCCGAGUUCUGGGCAAGAUUGGCGAGAUGAUUGACACAUUUGUUACUUUCCCUGAAAAUAUGUUGGAUUUGCAUCACCCCCAUUUCAACAAUUAAGAGCAAGCAAUCCCUCAUUAAAGUACUAAGUAGGUGGAUGUCAUCUAGAGGCAUCUUGAGGAGGUGAACAACCAUCAUGGCAUCGAGUUAAACAGUAAGAGAUCGUAUAUUUAAACUUUUAGCAGUUGCAAACCUUCACGAAUGCCCCAUAGCUUGGCUUGAAGACUAUCCGUCCUUCCAAUCUUCCGCGAGAAUCCGACCACCCAAUCACCCUUAUCAUUCCGGCUUUUACUGCUCCAUCCGAGUUAAAAAUAAAAGCUCCAUUUCACAAGCAAAGUUCAAAUACAGCCACAUAGAGGGUAAUUUACAUUAUAAGUCACUGAACUUGACAUCAAUUUUCAUAUAAAUCACAAUUAUUUAUUUUCAUUGAGUUAUAUCUAUUAGAGAUUGUGUGACCUGAACCCCGUCACUUGUUCAAGAAAUAAAUAUAGUGGCAAAAUAAGGGGAUUUGUAGGGGUGAGGGCCUGAGGUUUUUGAAAUAAAUACAGGCCAUACAACACAAGUUGAAUUUGUAUACAACUAUUCUUCUUCUAUUUGAUUUUGAUUAGAAUAGGGUUUUUCAAUCCUUAAAUAGAUGUAGUCAAAACUCUUUUUGUAUUAUUCGUUUUCCAACAUUAGUGAAUUUCUCCUUCUCUAUACGUGAUUUUUUCUCGAAAGGGUUUCCACGUAAAAUCUAUGUAUUCUUAUUUUUCCGUUCUUAUUAUUUUACGAUCGUUCUACAACUAUUGACGUUUAUUCUAAUAAUAUCAUUCAACAUUUAUUAUUAUAACAAAGUAGGUCAAUUAUGCUAACUUCAUUGAAUAAUUAUUUUUUAUGAAAAAGGUACAGAAAGUCAAAAUUUUCAUUAAAAUUACUCAAUGGAGUUAAUAUAAGCAUCUAAUUUGUUAAUAAUAGAACUCUAAUGAUUAUAAUUUGAUGAAAUUAAAGAUUUGUGAGUUACAUUAAAAUGAAAGAUAAAUUAAGUGACCCUUUUAGGGUAUGUGUCAACCAUUUAACUCUCGCUUGGGUAGUUUUAAACUUCAAGUAAUGUGAAAUAAUUUUUCUAAUAUUAACCUAAAAUAAUAACAAAUCUUUUAAAUUGCUUUUGAAAAAUUAAUAACCUACACCCACGUUUUAUAUUCAUAUAUAUAUCCAUAUGUGACACUGUAAUUACUUGCUCCGAAAUGUGACUCACCAUUUGAAAACAAGAUAAAAUGUUACAGACAUUGUUCAAAUAAAAACUAUAGCUUUCUUUAGCAAUUAAAAUUUGAGACCUAAAUUCAAGUUUUAUUAUACAUAAUUAUCAUAUACUCAUCCUUUGAAAACAAGAUAAAAUGUUACAUUGUUCAAAUCAAAACUAUAGCUUUCCUCAACAAUUAAAAUUUGGGGCUCAUAUUCGAGUUUUAUUAUGCACAAUUAUCAAUUCUAUCUAAAAUUUAAGAAGAGUAAGUUUAGCCAUAAAAGCUAGGGGGAAAAUUCAAUCUAAAAUUUAAGAAAAAGAUAGUGUUGUAAAGAUUAUACAUUCUCCUUCAAAAAUAUCAAUUCAAAAAUAUCAAAUUUAUUUCUAUUCUUUAAUUCCUAAUUUGUAGGGUGGAGCUAGGAAUUUUGUAUUUGUGGGUUAUGAUAAAAUUAACAAAAUUUGGGGGUCAAAACUUAAAAUUUGGUGCUAAAAUGAUUUAAAUCGAAUAAUUAAAAUUUUAGGAGGGGAAAAAGAUGAAAAAUUUUAUUUAAUCAAGUGGAUAAAUGAACUAAAUUGAAGUAUUAUGUUAAGUAGGGCAAAAAUAGAAUUCGACCAUUUAAGCAAGGGACAAGGUCCAAGAUACAAUUAAGGACCAAAUAGUUAAAAUUAAAAUUUUAUUUUCAAGUCCUAGAUAUAAUUAAGGACCAAAUAUCAUAUAGCUAAAGAGUAAAGAACCACAAUCCUUGCUUGAAACAAAGGCAAAUACGAAGAGGCAAAAAAGUUUAAUCAAGUAUCAGACCAGUAUAUCUCCAUUUCGCCACGUUUGUCUCCACACACUCCCAAGUCAUCCCAAACCGCAUCCGAGGCAUUGACUAUAUUGUUGGCACAUGGAGGCUGGAAGUCGUGUUCAUCGUCACAUCCCAUCGUGGAAUCACAUUCGUCGACUACCUUAGCUUUAACAAUUUUUCCAUUACCAUGGAUGUUAAUAUACUUCAUACACCGUUUUUUUCUUGUUGAACCAUCCCGUCAAAAGUGCCACAAUCAAUUCCGAAUCUUCAUGAAACUUGUCGUCGCAUUCGCAUGGACUGCCACCAUCCUCACCCGAAUCGAAUCCAUUGAGAGUCAAGGUUGCCUUAGUAUGAUUUGAAACCGGCGGCGAACACUUGUACGUAUUGUAAAACUUGCCUUCUUUGCAACAAUCAGAAUCAUGGCCUUUGUUACAUUUACCUGGAGGAGGAUUUUUCCCUUUAAGCUUGCCGCUGGGUUUGCAAGUAUCUGCUUCAACCAUCAAACAAUCUAUAAUAACUAAAACGAAGAAAAUAAAAAGAAAAAUAGUAGAAAAAUCCUUCAUAUUCAUAUUCUUUUGUUAAUUAACUCAUUGUAAAUUACUCUUUCUUGGUGCAGAGAACAUGAAAGUGGUGGAUUUAUAUAGCCACAAUGUUAUUAAAAGUAUCGCACGAAGGGGCCCAAUGUCUCACAAAAGUUUAAAUUUGCCACAUUUUACAAUUGUUGGAAUCAUAAUAUAAGUUAAAAUAUCAAUAAAUUAUCAUUUGACUAAGCAAUAUAUGUUGAGAAAUAAAUCAUCUCCUUGUAAAAGUAUCAUGAAUAUAUUUGUAUUAAGAGUUAGAUUUCAUUUUACUCAUUCUACUAAAAAAAUUAGUAAAUUAGUUCCUAUACGUUAGAGAAAAGAGUAAGCUGGUCUUUCUCUUAAAAUUUUCAUCUAUUUUUGCUGUUAAAAAUUGAUCCCUGUACAUCAAUAUGAGGUUCAUGUGGCACGCCACGUGUAUCUAUCUAGUUAUUCCAUCAACCAUACCAAUUUUUAACUGUAAAAAUAGAUGAAAUUUUUAACAGAAGGGAACAAUUUAUUCUUUGAUUUAACGUACAGAGCCUAAUUUACUCCUUUUUUUUGUAAAGGCGGUAAAAUGCAAUUCGACUUCUAGUACAAGGCUCUCCAUGUUACUUUUACCAAUGUCGAAACCCUUUUUUGGAGCUUGACUUUUUAUUUUAAAAAAACCGAAAAUGGAGUCGCCACCAAUUCUUUUUAUUUGGUGUGAUUAGAUCAUCUCGAAAUUUAAUCAUUUUAAUAAAAAUAGUUAAUUUUACUAAAACGAUGAUUUUCGGUCUACAAAAUCUGAGAAAUAGGUUUGAGAGUCGGUUACGUAUGAGGAAUGAUUAGUACCCCCAUAACACCCAAAAUUGAUACCUAGUUAGUUGGUGUCUUAGUGUAAAAAAUUGAGAAUUUGAAGAGGAUUUAAAAUGCGAUCCCUUUCACACAAUGUUAUUUGAUGGUAUUGAAAAUGUCUAUAUCUAAAUUUAAUUUUUAAUGAGGAGGUUUUCUUAUUUUGGGUCGAUCAAGAGGAAUAGUUAUGUCCCGUAAGUUGGGGCACAAAAUCUCGAAUGAGAACGCUCACUGUUUAAUUAUUGCCUAAAUCUUAUAUAUUUUUAAUUAAUUUUUAAAAAGAGGAGGGACGUUCGAUUAUUUCAGUUCAAGGAGAAAAUCGUACCCCAUAAGUUAGGGGCACAAUUUUUCAAAUACUCAAAAUAAAGAACAUUGCCUCGAUUCAAAUUAUCAAAUAUACGUCAUAUAAAAAUGAACAUAACAUUUAAAGCAAUAUGCGAUUAAUUUAUUCUAGUGGUGGUACCAAAAAAUGAACGAAUAUACUUAAACAUGUCAUGUAAUAUGGUAACGGAAAAAAAAAUGAAAUGAAAUGAAAUAACUACGUGGGAAAUAAAAACAAAAUAAUGAUAUAAUAACAUGAUAACAAAAAAAUAAAAUAAUAGUGGUCAUGCCAAUGGAUAAUAAUGCUACUAUAAUAGUAAUAAUAACAUUAAUCCAUGAUAAUAAUGGCAAUAGUCACAACAUGAUUAAUACCAUAAUACCAAUAUAAAUUAAUAAUAAUAAUAAUAAUAACCACCUAAAGAUAAAAAUAAAAAUGCAUAGUUUAAAAGGGACGAAAUGCGAAUAACAUAAAUUUGCAAUGCUGAAAAAAUAAGAAAAAUAACAAGUAAAGGGGUAGAAUUAAAUAAAUAAAGCAUUAAAUUGAAAAAUAAAAAUAGAAAAAUAAUGUAAGAAAAAGAAAUUGCAAAAAAAAAACAACAAAAAAAAAUAAAGGAUUAAAUCAAAAUAUGCGAAAGGCGUAGGGACCAAAUGGGUAAUUAUCUCAAACCCCAGUACACGUGCCAUUUCCAUAAGUGGUCGAUGGUCAGAGGACCAAAGUAAAAAAAUUUAAAAAGGAAAAUUUAAAAAGGAAAAAAAAACUAAAUCAGGAUAAUAUCAAAACAUGCUUAAAAGCGGGGGGACCUAGGCAGAAAAUAUCUCAACCCUUCAAAAACAUGCGGAUCCUGAGGGGAUUUGGGUCAGAUUGUCGGGUCGUACCCAAAACGACGUUGUUUUGGGGCUUCUGAAGCCAGGCCAAAACGACAUCGUACUAGUGCCCUAUUUAAGUCAAAAUUUUCUAAAAAAAAAAUCAUUUCUCCCAUUGUUUAAAAAAAAAUCUUUCUUUCUUUUCAUUUUCUCUUAGACCUCCCCUCUCACUAGGUCACAGGGACGGCGGAUCUCCGUUGCGGCCACCGAUCAUCGACGAUGGAGACUGCCGCCUACGGUGGCCCGAGUUCCCAAAACUCUGCCUUUUGAACCCUGACUGCCAAAGAACACGGUUUUGGCGUUUAAAUCCCCUGAAAACGAUCAAAUCUCAAAAAAAAAACUUUUGGUUUCUCCCCCUUUUAGACGUGGCUUUAGACAAAUCCCUAGGGAUUUGGCAACCUUACAAGCCGACAGUGACCACCCACGGCGGUGGUGCAGUGAAAUAGGUAAAAAAUCUAGCCUUUUUUAAUUUUUUAAUAUUUCAAAAUAAAAAGUAAAAAUCUUUUUUUGUUAAACUUGUUCUUUUUUUUGUAUUCUAUUCAAUUGAUUCCGUAAAAAAUUACAUGUGGUUGUUAUGGCUUUUAUAGCCAAACUACAAUGUUUAUUUUUUGUUUCUUUUCUGUUUCUCUGCUCUGUCUUCUGCUCCUUUUUUUGUUUUUUUUUUCUUUUUGCAGGUGCUCGUGGCAAGAUCAACGGUGCUGGGGAGCCACACCUUGCCAUUUCGGUGAAAUGAGGAGGGAGAUCUUAGGCGGCGCACUUGCUGACGUGGCGAGGGAGCGGCUCUUGAGGCCCUAAGGAAGCUAGGGUUUCUGAUAUUUUUUAUGUUUUGGGUUGUUAGAGUUUUUGUAUUUGGGUUAUUUGGGCUUGUAAUUAAUGGACUUUUAUUAUUCAUUUAUUUAUUUAUUUGUUGUUUGGGCCAGGCAAAAUUGGGCUGCUACAAUCAACAUCUCACAUUUAUUAUGAUUUAAAAGCUUUAGUCCUGGUUGAGUCUUAACUCGAUUGGUAUGGGUAUUUUUGUCAAUGCAGGACGUGGGUUUGAAUGUGCUGAAGCGCGUUAUCCUUCUAUUUAUGGAUUGGGAUGGGGCUAUAAGUAGUUCUAGAAAUUGUGUUAAAAAAAACAUAUAUGAUCAAAACCUAUAAUGAGAUUGUUCAAAAAAAAUAUCAUUCUUGAAAAUCAAAAUUUCCACAAAUUUGUCCUAAUCUAUGGUAUGAUUACAUAUUCGUAUUAAUGACAAAUUUUAAGAGAAUAUUAUUAAUCUCAACUAUUCGACUAGAUUUUUAAAUCUAGAAAAUAAAAAUAAUCUCAAACUUAUAGGAAGCGACAUUAAAUGUUGGCCUAAAAAUUAUAUUUAUGGUUCUAUAUACAACAAUGUUUAACAAUAUACCUCGACAUAUAUAAGUAACAAGGCUGCUAUCUUGUUUCUAUUUUAAGAUAGGAUUAGAAUCUGACUAAACUACAUAUUUGACUAAAUUAAAUACUUGAAAACAAUACUAAUAAAACAAUGUUAGCAUAUGAGCUUUGAUUUUUAGCAUAUUCAUCACCAAGGCAUCUGUCCAUUUAUGCUUAUAGGUGUGUUUGGUUAGUGGAAAAGUGGAAAGAAAAUAAAUUGAGUGUGCUUGGUUGGGAAGAAAAUAAGAGAGAUGAUCAUUUUUCAUCCUAAUGUAUAAAAAUCAAUCCUUUCAACUCUAUCGGGUAAUGGAUGAAAAGGAAAUGUAAUUUUCUUACCACUUUUUCAUCUCUCCUACCAAGCACAGUUAUGGAAAGAAAAAUUAUGUUUUCCAGCCUUCUUGUUUUCUAUCCCUUCAAAUUUUCAUCCUUCCAAUUUUCUUCUCAUUCUACAAAGCAAAGUGUUAGAGAAUUUUUUGCCGUUCCCCAUGGAAAUUAAUGGUUAAGUUUGGGUUAUUUAAAUCAAUUUCAAACUUUGGAACAUUCUAAUUAGGUACUUGUAAUAGGCCAAUUUAGUUGGGCCCAAAUAAAAAAAUAAACAAACAGAAUAUAAAAAUAAAAAAUCAAAUAAUAAGAGUCCAAGUCUAUUUACAAAAAACAUCAGGCCCAAAAUUACAAACUCAAAUGGCCCAAAAAAAUAAAAAAACCCUAAUGGCCUAAUGGCCUAAUGUCCCACAACAUAAACUAUUUUUAGGAAAAAAAACAGAAACCCUAGUGCUCCCUGCACCGUGCCCACGUCAGCACGCUCGCGCCUCGAGGUCUGUCAUCGUCAACUACCUUCAUCUUGUCGUUGACUCCAAAGACACCUGCAAAAAAGAACAAACCCGAACAUGCAAGAAAGGUCAGCAAGAACAGUAGAAAAAAUAGAAAAAUAACAUUGUAAAUCGGCUAUAAAAACCCUAAAAAACAGAUUGUAAAGGAAGGGUUUUCUUUUCAAAAAAGAGAAAUUGAAUACAGAGAAAAUUGAAUAUAUUCGAGACUUGAAUUAAAAAAAAUAGAGAAGUAAUCGAAAUAUAAGCAAAUCAGAUACAAAAAGGUGAUAUUUUUAUUUUUUUUAAAUAGAUAUAGGAAAGAAAUAAAAAAAGAGAGCCAUUUUUUUACCUUUUUUUUGGUCGUCGGAAAAGGGGAGAAACUGAAAGGUUUCUUGAACGUCGACCUGAUUUCCUCAAUUUUUUUACGAUUUUAACCCCAAAAUGGGGUUCUUAAAAAAAGGGGCAAAAAAGGAGACUUCGAAAUUUUUCAGCCACUGAAGACGGCGGUGAUCAACUAGGUACCAAUUUUGGGCAUCACGAGGGUGCUAAUCCAUCCUCGUACGUAACCGAAUCCUGAACCUAUCUCCUGGAUUUUGAAGACCAAAAAUCAUUGUUUUAGUAAAUCAAACUUUUUAUUAAAACGAUCAAAUUACGAGUUGAUCCGAUCACACAUCAUAAAAAAGGAUUGGUGGCGACAUUUUCAUUUCUUUUAAAAUCAAAAGUCAUUAAAAAAAGGGUUUCGGCAGCUUGGUGACUCCGUUGGGGACAAAAUAGGAGAGUCAAGCCACGAUUUGAUUACUUUUGGUCUUUUUGUCGAAAAUUGAUAAUUUGGUUUAAAUUUACGAUCCCUUCAUUGCAUUUUAUCCUUUAUUUUGGUGGUCUUCAUCAUUUUGUUACAUAAUGAUAUGUUUGCUUUAUUGGUUUGAGUCUCUUGGUAUAUUUCCGCAUAUUGCCUUGCAUAAUCAUUCGAUUUUGCCCUUCGUAAGUGGAAGUGAGAAGCUAUUCCUUCAUGAGGUCUUCACCUCCGUAUAGGAUAGUGGAUUGCUUUCGGGAUACAUCCGUACCUAUGUCUUCGUAAGAUCUUCAUCUCCGUAUAGCCAUAGGGAAAUGUAUUCCCCUGAAUCGAACUCGGACCAUAUGAGCCUAUAACGGGUGAGGAUCGAGGAAUCUGUUGGUUUAGGUACCCUUACUUUAGAACCGAACAGCAUAUAAUGAGCCCUAAGAACCUACCCUAGAUAGAACCAUACCGAACCUCUAGUGGUCACCCAAAUAGGUGCUCUAUUUAUUAUUUCUUGCUUUAUAUGAAAUAUACCGACUUGUUUCAUUUUGUUUUGGCUAUGAUUGCAUUGCAUUUUCAUCAUAGAAAAGGGCAAUGAUUCACGUUCAGUUGCUAAAUAGAGAGCUAGUCAUGGAAAAAAGGAUUUCUUGAUAAAGUGGAAGACAAUGCGGCCGUCUGAAUAUGGUCCGAGAAGACACAGCAAGAGAAGUGUGACGGCCUGACAGAGGGAUAUAUGUCACAAUUAUGGGAUUUCACUCGCAUUAGUGUGACUCAGAAUAAUAUCCAAGAGUUGAAAGAGGUAUGAGACCAAUGGGAUGACGAAACCAAGUAGCUAUUCUACUGUAACUAUGGUGAUUUGCGGUAUUUACUCGAUGUAAAAAUGGAUAAGCACUUAUUCUGAGCUUUGGCCCAGUAUUAGAAUCCCGCCUAUAGCUGCUUUACUUUUGGGAAGGUAGACUUGGUGCCCACUUUAGAAGAUUACACAACUCUGCUCCAUUGCCCGAUGAUCCAAGCCGCCAAAGCUUAUUCUAGAGCUGCCAACGUCCUGAAUUUCUUAAAGAAGCUAAUGAGCAUAACGGGGAAGAGUGAGCAAUGGGUUGCGGCCUAGAUGAAACAAAAAGGAGAUGGUAAAUGUAUCCCUUGGAAAAUUUUGCGGGAUUUGAUCUUGGCACAUCCGAAUACGAAAAAAAGGGUCGAUGUCUUCGCUUUGAGUAUUUACAGGUUGGUUAUUUUCUCCAAAGCGCUAGGGCACAUAGAUGAUGCAAUUUCAGAUCUAUUCGAUUGACUUGACAAAAAGGUCAUGCCCGUUGAAACACCCCAAACCCGGCCUGAUCGUUAUAGCUGAGUCUGACGGUGUCACAUGUAAAAGUGUUUAAAAACCGUAACUUUGCUUAAAACAUUUUCCGUUUAGAAUCUUUUCAUUUUCACUUAUUAAUUCUAAUAUCAUGUUAAUUAAUUAUUCGAAAGCUUUCAAGACGUUUAUUCUACGCGGAAGCUUUUAAAACAGUUUGCGUAUUCGUGAUUAUUUUGUUAAGACGUUUGGUUCUUUUGAAAACUCGAGUUUUCCUAAAACUAGUAGUUAUAACCCAUAACUAAUAAAAAUCUCAAAUUUAAGAAAAAUCCAUAGAGGUCAUAUUUACAAUAUAGUUCCCGAAUGAAAUUUAAAAUCACCAUUUAAGUGCGAAACAGAGUCAAAUAAGGUUGUGUGGCCACUGCUGAGUCCUCCGCCACACCGAUCCGUCCAAGCCUAGGGAUUACCUGUACAGAUAAAUCAGAAAGGUGAGUUUACGAAAACUCAGUGUGUAAUCCCCAUAUAGAGCAAGCACACAAAAUGCAAUCAUAGUCUGGGCUUAAGCCCUUUCAGUACCAGAUUCAAUUUCAGUUAAGGCCUUAUCCCAAUUCAGUACAGAAGCAGUCAUGCAUUAGGGCUUUGGUCCAUUACAGUAUCAGUAAUCAUAUAGUAACAGAUAUACAGUCACAAAAUCCUACCCAGCCAGCCUCUACACACCAUCUCCGUCCAACCCUACACUCAUUGUGGAGAUAUAAUCAACCCACCCAUCCCUACACUCUAAAAAGUACCGAAUGCGGCACUAAAUAGUGGUUUACAACUGAGUUGCCAGUAAAUUAGGCCCGAGGGCUUUCAGUACACUUCCUCCGAACAAUGCCAACCCCCAACCCAACCCAUUGCAAUGCAAUAUACAAUAUCAAUUCAUUAAAUAUCAUCAUGCUCGAUAACAUGUAAAUAUAUAUCAGUCAUACAGUCAUUUCAGUCAAUUAGGAGUCUAAGUAACCUUACCGACCCUACGGUAGGUUCACAGUCAUCUCGGACGACCCGUGCAACCUUAGCAACAAAAUAGUGGAGAUGGGCUCACACGUUUAUGUUGUCGGUCAUUGUGGACCCAUACACCGAUAUUGUCUACACGGUCUAAAAUGGUCUUGGCCAUGUGAAUCACACGGCCCGACCCAAAAAUUCCACACGCCCGUGUGGCCCACACGGCCCAAUUCGAUCCGACCAGUGUAUCGCACACAGCCUGCCUCAUCCAUCACACGCCUGUGUUCCGUCACACGACAUACAACACGGGCGGCCACACGCCAGUAUGGCGUCGACAGCCCUAUUUUUUGGCUUUUUACUAAUUACAUUUUUCAGUGUUGUGGUUACACACCUGAUACGAUUUUGGUACGCAACCGCUCCUGAGAUAACCAGUUCCUAAAACGACAAUCCCAAAUCCAAAAUCAGUCACAAUUCAAGAUUAAACCAAUACCAUUAAAUCGACAACGAUCAAUCUCCAAAUUCGUUGCUUACCCUUAACGCUCCGAAAGAUCUUAACUACGGUCUCGCGGGGAAAACACGUUCCUUGUGAUUUGCUGCUGCCAAAACAAGGAUUCGACACUAACAAAGAGUUAGAUACUUCACAAACUAAUAAAAGAAAAACUUCUCCGACACAAACGAGGCACAACCCUCUUACCUAUCAACUUAUCAACUGAAUGCAGCUAAUGUUGAUCAGAAUGAAGACAAAUUGGAGAGAGAAUAGGGAAGAAAAGGGAGAGUUUUGGCAGGAAAUGAAGAAACAACUCGCCACCAGAGAAAAAAACAAAUUUCGAUAGUAGAGGGGAUUUCGAAAGAGCAAAAAUGGCAGCAAAACUUGAGAACCAGAGUGAAAAGUUGAAUUUGCAAAAAGAGAAGUAAGAGGAAGAAAACAAAAUCAGCAGAGGUUUUGGCAGAGAGAGAAAUCGUUAGAAAAUUUAAAAGAGUGAGGGAGGAGAGCUGCACUUGUAACCACCCAAUUUCGGAUAUUUUCAAACUCCUUACUCCUAAUUUUUCUCUCCAUAUCCUUAAUUCCACUCUCCAAACCCGUCCACCACUUCCUCUUAACUACCGAAUUCAAAAUUCACUCAAACACUUCAGUAUUUUGGCAAAACCAAAACACCCACACAACACAAGCAGCAAAAUAAAUCCCUUGAGCCGAAGGACUCGAACUCUAGACUUCCAGAUUAUUUACACUCCAUUGAACCACCAGACCAGCAGGUCUAUUCUGUCAUAUUUUACCAACAUUUAAUUAUAAGUCUACUGACUAGUGAUAGGGCUUCGUUCAUAAAAAUACAAAAAUUUCCCCAAGACAAAGCUUGAACUUAAGACCUCACACACACACCCAGAGCACUUAACCACUGAAGUGAUACACGGUUGUGUCAUAAAUACACGAAAACAAAUAUACAAACUUUAGGGUGUUACACCCGUCCUGGUAAUUUUGGCCGAAAGUUUCAGAUCUUUGAGUGCAUGUCGGAGAGCGGGUGAAGGAAGAUUUAUCAAGUGUGCACAACUCUUGCUAGCCUAGUUUUACAGCCAUUUUUGGAAGGUAGAAAAGUCUCUUAUCAAGUAUUCUCCAAGAACUACUCUCCGUUGAAAGAACUCGUGGCUACGCAAAGGCGAGACAACAUUUCGGAGGAGAAAUGGAUGGCAAUUCUCUAGAGUCUCCAAGAAGAAGACAUUAAAUGGAGGGCCCUUUAGAUGAUCCCUAAUGGGAUUUUAUACCAGUGUGAAGACUUCGACUGGGUCCCUUUACUCGGGAUAUGGGGAGCUAUUGGAUAUGCCCCUUUACUUGUAUUGAGACAAUAUAGGUCGAAGCAAUUUAUACCGGUAACGCAAGGGUUGGCUUAGUGUGAGUUCGCGUAUAAAGGUGAUAAUUACAAGAAGAGUACUCGUGAAAUAUCGAACGCUUGGAACCAAACCCACAGAAUGAAAAGAUUUGCUGCAAAUCCCAUGACGACCCCCGAAUAUGAUUGGUCGUGGAGUAAAAGAGUCAAUGACAAUGUCUCUAUGUCUAGUCAGGAAAACACUCGGCCAAUAGAAGAACACUUAUAAGUGAUCUCGUCUAAGCUAGAGAUCGUAAAGCAAGACUUUAAAAAGAGGAGUUUGUAGCUGGAAAAAAAGAUAGAAUAGUUGGAAGAGGAAAAGAUGCAGCUAGGAUUUGAUGUCGAUGUCCAAAAGUUAGAGGCCAAGAAAAUGAGAAAAUGAAAUAACAAGACUGAAAGAAGACUUGGAUAGUUUAAAAACAGAUUAUAAAAAGCUGCGGUUGUCGCUGAGGACUGCCAGAUUGGGUAAAACAUCGGAACAAUGGCGGCAAGAAAUAAAAAAAAGAUUAGAGCCAAUUAGUGGGAAAAGGAAUUCCAAUAUGCUUGAGUUCGAUAAGAUGCUGUAGAAAGGGAUUUGUUAGAAAGUAGGUUGGAUUAAGAGCCUGGGUAGUAAAAUUGGAAAGGUCACUGCAUCAAUAUCAAAGUCACAACUCCGCAAUUGAGUUGAUAGCAAGCUUGAAUAAGAUUGAAGAGUUGAAGGGAAAGAUAGAAGAGCUCGAGGCCGCACUACAAAAUUGUGAACUCCGAGUUGAGCUUCUUGAAACAAAUAAUGAACACUGGAAAGAGCAACUCCAACGUUCUCAAGGUCAGAUUGGGAUAAAGAUCACAUCAUGGGUGAAGCUGUGACUCUAGUACAGGAAAUAGCCAACCAUUUGCAAACCCUAGCGGUUUAAACCAAUAUGAUGAGUUUAAAAUACGAAUCAAAAUCGGACUGGGGCCAAGAAUUAGCUUUGCUUCUUAAGAAAUUCAGUGCUUUGAGUACUAGGGCAAGGUCGUAUAUGUAAAAUGUAUCCGUUUUAUGUAAAAAGAUUCGUUUUCUAGUAACAUUAUUCUAAUACAAUUGAAUCAGAACCAACGCCUCUUUUUGCAUUUAUUUUUCAUUCAUCAGCAUUACAUUUCAUCAUAUGCAUUAAGUUUCAUAAAAAGACCCUAAUUAAUCAAAAUUAUAAUAGUUACCCUGGAAACCAAUAAGAAUUUGUCAACUGAAUAUCGUUACGGUACCCACGGUAAAACCAAAGCCAUAAGGUUAGAGAGAUUGGAACAAAUUCAGAAAGACAUUCAAGAUCAGUUGCAAGUGCAGCUGCAGGAACAAUUAGCUAAAGUACAACAAGACAUGAGGGAUCAAAUACAAGAGUCCCAACGAAGCAUGAUAAGCCAUUUGAUCCAGUUGCUGGCCGAAGGGACUGAAAAAGGGAAAAAUACUGUAAAUAACUCUGGGGAUGAUAAUGAAGACCCUAUAUACCCCUCAGCCUUUACCCUAGUAAAUGUCCAAGCCCAACUAGAUAGAUAUCCACGAAGGGUACCCGUUACCAUAAGACCUCAAUAAUAUCAAGUCGGCACUUCAGCACCGGUAAAUUACCCAAUAGGUUAAGGUUUUAACCCCGGGGAUAAUCUGACCAACCUAGUUGUUCCCGAUUUGGAUUACAUGGCCAAAAUGAAUAGAGCAAAGGUAGAACUCUCAAAACAAUUAGAAGAUCGAUACAAGUGGUUGGAAAAGAAAUUCAGAGCUAUGGAGAAUGUUGAUUUCCUUUGCGAGGUAGAUGCUAAAGAGUUGAGUUUAGUCCCUGAUCUAGUGCUCCCACAAAAAUUCAAAACUCCAGAAUUCAAAAAAUAUAAUGUGACUGAUUAUCCUGAAGCCCAUAUCACAAUGUUCUGCCGAAGAAUGAUGGGAUACGUCAAUAACGAGCAAUUGUUAAUUCAUUACUUCCAGGAUAAUUUGAUCGGGUCGGUUGCCAAGUGGUACGACCAGUUAAGCCAUGCCAAAAUCAACUCAUAAAAAGACCUAGCACAGGCUUUCAUGAAAUAAUAUAGCCAUGUGACUGACAUAAAACCCGAUAGAAUUAUGCUGUAAAACAUGUAGAAUAAGCAAAGUGAAAGCUUUAAGUAGUUCGCUCAGAGAUGGAGAGAGAUGGCAAAGCAAGUCCAACCACCUCUUUUGGAGAAUGAGACAAUAAAAAUUUUUAUAAACACUUUAAAAGCCCCGUUCAUUAACCAUAUGUUGGGAAGUGCUACCAAGAGCUUCUGAAAUAUAAUAAUGUUCGGGGAAAUGACUGAAAAUGCAUUAAAGAGUAAGAAAAUAGACGCGGGGGAAAACGCUAAAAGAUCAGCCCCGAGAAAGAAAGAAAAUGAAGUGACUACUGUAAGUGUGUAUAAUAAGAGUUAUUCAAAACCGGCCACUGUAAGCCAACUAAGAACUGUGACAACCAACCAUCAAGGCCCUUCAGGGCAAGAAUCUAACUCAAGGCCAAACACAGAAAAACGUCAAUUCACAUCUAUCCAGAUGACAUACAGAGAGUUAUAUCAGAAUUUUUUCGAUGCGCAUAUGGUAUCCCUGUUUUACUUAAAACCCAUGCAACCUCCAUUCAUAAAAUGGUAUGAUGUGAAUGCUCAAUGCUAUUACCAUGUAGGAAUAACGAGACACUCAAUUGAGAACUGCAUUGUAUUUAAAAAGUUGAUUGAAAGGUUUAUCAAAAUGGGAAUUGUGAGGUUCAAUGAUCCCUCAAGACCUAACGUGGCUAGAAAUCCAUUACCCAGUCAUUCAGACCAAGAGGUAAACGCGAUAAUUGUGAAUGGAGGAAAGAGGACCAAAACUGAUGUUGCGGAAGUGAGAUCCCAGCUAAAAUGGGUCUGGCAAGAAAUGAUAAACGUGUAGCUUUUCCCUAUAAGGAUAGCAAAAGAGUUUCAUGGAAUUAUGACUGCAACGUGAUGAUCCCAAGAAAGGAGAAUUUGGCUAGCACUUCAGAAGAGGGCCAGGAUAUUGGUUUCUACAAUGCAGUGGGAGGCGUUAUGACCCUGAAAGUGCAAGAAUCGAGCCCACUAAAGGAAAAACCCUGACAGUUGAGCAAAAGAAAGAAAACACAACUAGGCUUAAAUCAUCGUUAAUGAGUCAGUAACUGAGAACGAGGCUAAGAAAUUCCUAAAAUUCUUGAAGCAUAGUGAGUAUAGUGUUGUAAAAUAGUUACACAAAUAAUCGGCUCGCAUAUCAGUACUAGCCUUGCUCUUGAGCUCAGAGACACAUCGUAGUGCGUUGAUGAAAGUGUUGAAUGAAACUUAUGUUGCUAAUGAUAUCUCUGUAAACAAGUUAGACCGUCUGGUUAACAAUAUAAGUGCCGACAACUUCAUCUUUUUCAAUGAUGAUGAAAUACCUCCAGGGGGCAUGGGAUCCACGAAGGCCCUACACAUCACUACCCGCUGCAAAGGGUAUGCAUUGCCAGGGGUGUUAAUCGAUAAUGAAUCUGCGCUGAAGGUCUUGCCUCCAUCCAUACUAAAUAGAUUGCCAGCGGAUAGCUCUCACAUGAAGAUGUGCCAUAAUAUAAAGAGAGCAUUCGAUGGUACGAAAAGGAGGGUGGUGGGAAGGAUUGAAAUACCUCUCUUAAUUGGUCCAAACACAUAUAAGGUAGACUUUUUGGUGAUGGAUAUCAAGCCUUUUUAUAAUUGCUUGUUGGGUAGGCUUUGGAUUCACUCGGCUGGGGCAGUACCGUCGUUACUACACCAAAAAUUGAAGUUCGUAACGGAGGGUCGAUUGGUGACAAUAAACGCUGAAAAGGAUAUCAUUGCAUCCAUAACUAAUAACGUACCAUACAUAGGAGUGGAUGAAGAGGCAAUAGAAUGUUCCUUUCGAUCACUGAAAUUUGUUAAUGCAACUUUCAUUAUUAAAGGAUACAAGAUCCCAGUGCCCAAAAUAUGUAAAACUAUGAGGAUGAGCCUGCAGUUGAUGGUUGAGAAAUGAGCCUUACCUGGGAAGGGACUCGGAAAAUACCUACAAUGAAGGGUUAAGGCACCCAUGCUGAUGGACAAACAAGCCAGCUUUGGGUUAGGGUACAAGCCAGAUGCGAGGCAAAAGAAUAAAGAGAUAGUGAAGAGACAAGAAAGAAUAAGAGCGCGACUGAGUGGAGGAAAGGUCAAAUGGAAAUCUGUGUCUUUUCCCCAUAUAUCCAAAACGUUCGUGUUAGGAGAAAUCAUUUAUCCUGAACGAAUGAUGGCUGAAAAAGGAAGCCCGAAAAGAAUAUUGGGAAACUUGAGCAUCAAUUUCUUAUUUGAAUAAGGAAUUGGGGAAAACCUGUCAGUUAUUCGUCCUUAUAUCCCUAAAAAUGUUCUGGACAAUUAGACUGUGGAAGAGAUCCCUGUAAUUUUUAGAACUAAUUCAGAGUAAUGUUCAAAACACACUUAUUGCUCUAAGCCUGGGAGCAAUAAGAAUCUUUUUGUGAAAAAGGCUUAUGUCUAUUAUUUUCAUUUCAAUAAAAUAUCUUCGUGUCUGAUUUUGGCAAACAUUCUUUUGUUCUUUCUAUUUCAUUCAUACUCAUACCACACAGAUAAUUAUUCUUAGAUUCAUUUGUUCUUUGGGUCUUCCUUCUUUUCUAUAACAAGUGUUCAGAUAUCAAUGAUACGAGCGACACUACUACAAACUCAGAAUUUCCUUUUAAGUAAGACAUGUGUCUAAAGGAACCUUGGGACUUUGAAGAUGAUCGAGAUUUUAACCUAUCUCCUAAUUUGUUAAGGAUGGUAGAACAAAAGGAGAAAUUGAUUCUACCUCACAAAGAGUCAAUAUAAAUUGUGAGCUUAGAAGACAAAAAAAGAAGAAAAAGGUGAAAAUCGGAGCUUGUAUCGCUGCAGAGACAAAGCGAGACCUCAUUGAGUUACUCCAUGAAAUCAAAGAUGUCUUCACAUGGUCGUAUCAAGAAAUGCCUGGUCUAAGUAUUGAUAUCGUGGUACACCGACUCCCUAUAAAGGAAGAAUGCAAGUCGGUUCAACAGAAACUUCGAAGGAUGAGGCCGGUGUCUUUUUAAAAAUAAAAUAAAAGGUCAAUAAGCAAUUUGACGCUGGUUUUUUACAAGUGGUUAAAUACUCGAAGUGUGUAGCUAAUAUAGUCAUCAUCCUUAAGAAAUAUGGGAAAGUACGAAUGUGUGUAGACUAUAGGGAUUUAAAUAAAGCCAGCCCGAAAGAUAAUUUCCCGUUGCCUCACAUCAAGACCUUAGUGGACAACACGACAGGUUACUCACUGUUCUCCUUCAUGGAUGGUUUUUCCGAUUGCAACCAGAUAAAGAUGCAUCUUGAAGACAUGGAAAAGACCAAAUUCGUAACCAUGUGGGGAACAUUUUGUUAUAAAGUGAUGCCAUUCGAACUGAAAAAUACAGAAGUAUCAAAGAGCCAUGGCAACCCUGUUUCAUGAUAUGAUGCACAAAGAAAUCGAGGUUUAUGUCAAUGAUAUGAUCGCAAAAUCUUGAACAGAAGAAGAGCAUAUACAAGUCCCGAGAAAAAUGUUUUUGAGGUUGAGAAAGUUCUAACUAAAGCUCAAUCCAGCAAAAUGUACAUUCAGGGAUAGGUCCAGAAAAUUACUAGGGUUUGUCGUCAACGAAAAGGGGAUCGAGAUCAACCCAGACAAAGUUAAGGCUAUACAGGAGUUGCGUCCGCCGCGCACUAAAAAAGAAGUUCAAGGUUCCUUAGGAAGAUUAAAUUAAAUCGCCAGGUUCUUUUCACAAUUAACUGAAAAAUGCGACCCCAUAUUUCGUCUCCUUAAGAAACACAAUCCAGGUGUAUGGGAUGAGGAAUGCCAGAAGACUUUUGACAAAUUCAAACAUUACUUGUCCAAUGCCCCAAUACUAAUGCCACCUAGCCCAGAUAAGCCACUAAUAUUGUACUUGGCAGUAUUUGAGAAUUCUAUGGGAUGCGUGCUUGGCCAACAUGAUAAGUUAGGGAGCAAAGAAAGAGUAAUAUACUACCUCAGUAAGAAAUUCACUGAAUGUGAGACAAGAUACUCACCAAUUGAGAAGUUGUGUUAUGCCUUAAUCUAGACAACCCAAAGACUGAGACAGUACAUGUUGUACCACACAGCUUGGCUCAUCUAAAAAAUGGACCCUCUAAAGCACAUGAUAGAGUCGACUGCUUUGAAUGGAAGGAUAACGUGAUGGUAAAUUCUACUUCCGAAUUUGAUAUAGCUUAUGUAAACCAGAAGGCAAUAAAAAGGAGUGCAAUAGUAGAUUUUCUAGCUAGUAGAACUCUAGAAGAUUACGAGCCUUUGAAUUUUGAUUUCCCAAAUGAAGAUCUGAUGUAUAUUACAACCACUAAAGAAAAUGCUCAAGAAGUACAUCCUUAGAAACUAAAUUUUGACGGGGCUUCAAACGCUAUGGAUAACGGAAUCGGGGCAGUCUUGGUAUCCCCAAAUAGAGAUCAUUAUCCCUUUACUAGUAAAUUGAAUUUUGAUUCCACGAACAAUAUGGCAAAAUACAGAGCAUGCAUUAUGGGUAUCUGUGCAGCCAUAGAAUGCAAGAUCAAAGAACUAAAGGUAUAUGGGGAUUCUGCACUGGUGAUCUAUCAACUCAAAGGUGAAUAGGAGACAAUAGAUCUCAAGUUAAUCAAGUAUAGAAGGCUGGUCCUGGAGUUAAUUAAAGAGUUUGAUGACAUUACCUUCUGCUACCUUCCGCGAGAUAAAAAUUAGAUGGUUGAUGCCCUAGCUACCGUAGCUUCCAUGGUCAAAAUGAACAAACAAAAGGAUGUAAAACCUAUCUAGAUGAGUAUUUAUGAGGCUCUGGUUCAUUGUUACAACAUCGAGAUUGAGGAAAAGGAUGAUCACCCUUGGUACUACGAUAUACUGCGAUAUGUAAAGAAUCGUGAAUAUCUUGAUCAAGCGAACGAGAAUGAUAAAAGGACACUGAGGAGACUGGACAAUGACAAUGUCUUAGAUCGGGAGAUCCUGUAUAAAAGAAGAAAGGAUUAGGUGCAACUAAGAUGUGUGGACGCCAUUGAGGCCAAGAAGAUUUUGGAAGAAGUCCAUGAAAGAGUUUGCGGAAUGCAUGCUACUGGUUUUACAAUGGCUAGGUAAAUCAUGAGAUUCGGGUAUUAUUGGUCCACCAUGGAAGGGGAUUGUAUCAGUUAUGUCAAGAGAUGCCAUAAGUGUCAAAUUUAUAGAGACAAAAUUCAUGUGUCUCAUUCACCUUUUCAUGUUAUGACUUCUCCAUGGCAUUUCUCUAUGUGGGGCAUGGAUGUCAUUGGGUCAAUAUCACCAAAAGUUUCCAAUGGGGAUCGAUUCAUAUUCGUAGUCAUUGAUUACUUCACCAAGUGGGUAGAGGUCACUUCUUACGCCAAUGUCACGAAGUCGCCAGUCAACAAAUUCUUGAAGAAAGUGAUCAUAUGUCAGUAUAGGAUGCCAGAAAGGAUUAUAUCUGACAAUGCAUUGAAUUUGAAUAACAGCACGAUAUCGGAGGUCUAUAGUCAAAGGGGUUUUGAAUUGAAAACCCAGGAAAGGGCAGCUCAAAUUUGGCUUGAACAUGUGAUGGUUAGGUCUUAGAAGGAAAAACGUUACAUCUUGGGGCAUUAACAAAGUCCUCUAGAUCUCCUAAACACAUAUCAGACUCAAAAUGGUCCUCGAAAAGUUUGUGUAGAGAAGCUCAUGUUAUGAUAUCUGGGGCACCUAUUUUCAUCUUACUCAUUUUGUAUUUUAGCAGCGUUUGCUAUUUUGAUUAAUCUAUUCAUUUCGAGCUUUGCUCCAAAUAAAUUUCGAUCUUGUCCAUUGUUACAAAUUUUUUCAAGCAUUUUUACAUUGAAAUAAAGAUUAAUAGACUAACAAUAUUCAAGUAAAAAGAUUUUUGCAUAUUGCUCUGAAAGGUUUCCUAAAUAGUACAUGACCUGAAACAGGACCACUAGUUAGAACUAACCAAAUCUAAGGGUUGGAAAUAUUUGGAAACGAAUAGUGUAAAUUGUGAUUACUUCUUCGGGUCUCUUAUCAAAGAUACCAGAUCUCAACAAGAAGGCAUGGUAAUAUAUCAGUGAUGGAACCUUGGCGAACAAUGAGAAAUGUCAAUCUAAAUACUAAAAAGGGGACCAUUCUCAGAAAAUGGCAUUAUGCAUUCAUGCAAAUAUCAUUCAUAUACAUCUAGUCAAGAGCAUUUGAUUCAUUUUGAUCAUAACAUCUUAAUCUCUUGACAUAAAUAUAGGCCCAUGAAAUAGAUUCCAAAGGUCAUGUUCCCUAGAGAAUGGUGUAACAGAUUAGUGAAACCAUAAAACCUAUACCCCUGAAGUUGCAGUGGGAUGGAUUGAAGUCACCGUAGUGAAUCUUAUCCCCCUGAAGUUGCAGCAGAGUAGAUUAAAGCCACAAAUCUUAUCUCCCUGAAGUUGCAGUGAAGCAGAUCGAAGAUAGCAAAUCUUAUCUCCCUGAAGUUGGAGUGGAGCAGAUUAAAGAUAGAAAAUCUUAUCUCCCUAAAGUUGUAAUGGAGCAGAUUAAAGCUACGAAUCUUAUUUCCCUGAAGUUGUAGUGGAACAUAUUAAAGCUACUAGUCAAAAAUCUUAUCUCCUUAAAGUUACAUCAGAGCAAAUUAAAGUUACAAAUCUUAUUUCCCUAGAGUUACAUUGGAACAGAUUAAAGCUACAAGUUGCAAAUCUUAUCUCCCUGAAGUUGCAGUGGAGCAGAUUAAAGCGAACUUUAUCUCUCUAAAAUCAUAGUAGAGCAGAUUGAAGCUAUGAAUCUUAUCUCCCUAAAGUUGCAAUGGGUUAGAAUGAGACUACUUAAAAAAGAGAAACACCAAAGAAGUCGAGAUUAAGCGAGACCAUGCAAAAUUGGCCCUUUUUAAGUUCUUUGCUCCAUUCUCAUUACACGUCAACAAGCAAAGAGGGACAGCUGUAAUAGGCCAGUUUAGCCCGGGCCCAAAUAAAAAAAAAACAGAAUAUAAAAAAAUAAUAAUAAUAAGAGUCCAAGUCCAUUUACAAAAAACAUCAGGCCCAAACUUACAAACCCAAAUGGCCCCAAAAAAUAAAAAUAAAAACCUUAAUGGCCCAGUGGACCACAACCUAAACUUUUUUCAGAAAAAAAAAUAAAAACCCUAGUGCUCCCUGCGCCACACCCACGUCAGCACGCUCGUGCCCCGAGGUCUGCCAUUAUCAAUUGCCUCCGUCCCGUCGUUGACUCUAGAGACACCUGUAAAAAAUAACAAACACGGACACGCAAGAAACGUCAACAAGAACAGUAGAAAAAAUAGAAAAAUAACAUUGUAAAUCGACUAUAAAAAGCUUAAAAAACAGAUUGUAAAGGAAGGUUUUUUUUUUCAAAAAAUAGAAAUUGAAUACAGAGAAAAUCGAAUAUAUUCAAGACUUGAAUACAAAAAUAGAGAGAAGUAAUCGAAAUAUAAGCAAAUCAAAUGCAAAAAGGUGAUAUUUUUAUUUUUAUUUUUAUCGAAAUAGAUAUAGGAAAGAAAUAAAAAAAAGAGCCAUUUUUUUUUACCUUUUUUUGGGUCGUCGGAGACGGGAGAAACUAAAAGGUUUCUGCUCGAUUUCCUUAGUUUUUUGACGAUUUUAACCCCAAAACGAAGUUCCUAAAAAAAGAGAGCAAAAAAGGAGACUUCGAAAAUUUUUGGCCAUCGAAGAUGGCGGUCGCCGUUGUCGACAACCGGUGGCCGCGGCGGAGCAACGACGGCUCCCAGGGCCGGCCUAAAGAAAAUUUCAGAGAAAAAAAGUUAAAGGAGAUUUCUUUAAAAACAAAAGGGGAAAUGGUUUUUUUUUUUAAAUUUUGACUUAUAUACGCAUAUCAAAACAACGUCGUUUUGGCCUGGUUUCAAAAACCCCAAAAUGAAGUCGUUUUGGGCAAGAUCUGCCGAUCCAACCCGACCCCUUAGGAUCCGCGUAUUUUUAAAGUGGGAGGAGAUAUUUUCAACUUUGGUUCUUCCGCUUUUUUUCAUCUUUUUAAUUUAAUAUUGUUCAGUUUUAUUUAUUUUAAUUUUCACCCCACAAUUUAAAUUCCUGAACAAUUUAGUCCCCUAAUCCACUGUGAAUCCCUUGGGGAGUGACACGUGUUAAUAUAAGGGGGAUAAUUGCCCUUUGACCCCCUAAAGUUUUUAUCCUAUUUUAAUUUAGUCCUUUAAGUUCUUUUUCUUUAUAAUUUAGACUGUCAGUUUUGUUAUAUUUUAAAUUUAGUCCUUUAUUAUUUAUUUUAUUCUGAUUUAUCCCAUUAAUUUCAUUUAAAUUACAAUUUAGUCCUUUAUUUUUCACCCUUUUGUAAAUUGUUUCCUUUUAUUUAUUUAUUUAUUUAUUAUUCCUUUUAUUUUAUUCAUUUACUUACUUAUUUACUUAUUUAUUUAUAUAUUAUUCAUUUAUUUACUUUUUUAUUUUAAUUCCUUUAUUCAUUUAUUUGUUAUUCCUUCAUGUUUUAAUAUUCAAAAUUUUCUUUAUUUUAUUUUAUCGAGUAUUUAUUUCUUUUAUUUUUUUUCUUUGUGCCUUUAUUAUUAUUACUAUUUUAUUAUCUAUUUAUUUAUUACUUCUUUAUUUUUAUACAUACUAAAAAAAUUAAAUUGCUUACAUUUUUACUUUUAUUUAUUUGCAUAUUUGUUGUUUUCGUUAUUAUUGUUAGUGUUAUUAUCAUUAUUAUUUACCUUUGCUCAAUUAUUUAUUAUUAGUAUUAGAAUAAUAAUUAUAAUAUGAUCUUUGCCAUCGUCAUUACAAAUUGGUGUUUUAUCACUAUUGUAGUUAUAUCAUUGUCAUUUGUUAGUAUGAUAUUUUAUAUUUUUCAUACAUCAUCAUUUCAUUUUUUAUACGCUUCCCUUUUUAUUUUAUUAUAUCAAUGCCACGAGUUGUGUUUAAAUGUACUUAUCCAUUUUUAUGCUAUGCCCAAGUAAGCUAAAUACACAUUACUUUAAAUAUUACAUUUGUCUUUGCAUGAUGCAUAAAAAAGGAAAAUUUUUUAAAUCAAGGUAAUGUUCUUUAUUUUGGAAUUAGAAAAGUCGUGUUCUUAACUUACGGAAUAUGGCUUCUUUCUAAAACUGAGAUAGUCAAAUAUCUACUUUAAAAUAAUAAAAAAAAAAUAUUUUGGCAUUUGUUCUCAUUUUCGAGGAUGUACGGCAUUGUGUCCUAACUUACGGGACAUGAUCCUUUCUUCUCAAUUAACUUGAAAUAAGCCAUUUUCACGAAAAUUACUUUAGUUAGGUAAUGCCUUAAUACAAAAAGGGAUUGUUUUUUAAACUCUUUUCAAAUUUUCAAUUCUCGACACUAAGAUAUCAAGUAAUCAACUAGGUACCAAUUUUGGGCAUCACGAGGGUGCUAAUCCUUCCUCGUGCAUAACUGACUCCCGAACCCAUCUCCUGGAUUUUGCAUACCAAAAAUCAUUAUUUUAGUAAAUCAAACCUUUUAUUAAAACGAUCAAAUUACGAGGUGGUCCGAUCACACCUCAUAAAAAAAGGAUUGGUGGCGACUCCAUUUUCAUUUGUUUUAAAAUCAAAAGUCGAUUUUCAAAAAAAAAAGGUUUCGACAGUACUCAAGUUAUCAAUAAUGGAUUAAUCAUUCUUUCUAUCGACCUUAUGAUUGGCUUAGGCAUUUAAUGCCAACUCAAGUAUAGCGUGAAACAUAUUUAAUUUUUAUGGGUUAAAUUGCAAAUAUGUGUACCUACUAUGUGAAGUGCUUGAAUUAAAAAAGAGAUAGAGAGAGAGAGGGAGAGGAAAUAACUCUUAAAUUUUAAUGAUACUAUCUAUUGUUUUAACAUGUCGAAUCUAAGUUUUUUAUAAGGUAAGUACAUGUGUGCCCAAGGGUGGAUAUAAGGGGGCAAGGCCCCUUGCCCCGCCCCCCUAAAUUGAAAAAUUGUAAUUAUUGCUUUGGCAUCCCAAAAAAUGAAAUAAAUUCUAUUUAGUUCUUUUAAAAAUUAUAAAAUUAUAAAAUCAUAAAUUAAUAUUUAAUACAUAAUAAAAAUAUAUAUUUGACGUCUCAAAAAUUUAUAAUUCAAUUUUGACUCUCUAAAAAAUUUCUGGAUUUGCCAUUGCAUGUUAGAUUGGAACACCAAUAGUGACAACUAAGCUUAUGGAAGGACAUGAUUGAGACAAAACAAAUAUUUUAAGAACUCAAUUAAAAUAUAAUAAAGUUUGAACACCAACUUAAAAUUUGAAAAAUAAUUUGGGAAUGUUUCAUAAAAUUAAUUCUUAAGAUUUAAAACAUAAUUUUAAUGCUUUAACAUUAUACAAAACAUCCAUUAAAAAAACCAUUAUACAAAACAUACCAUGUAUGACUCUUACAUUAAUAUUGACUUUAACUUAAAACACACAAGGAAUUAGAAAUAUUUAUUCUAAUACAAACAUACAUUAAAAAAUAUAGUUAAAAAGAUGAAUCGGUAUCUGACCAAUAAAUAUUCAUUUCACCUCAAUCACUUUUAAGUCCUCCAAGAGCCUUCCAAACUGCUUUCGAGGAAUCAACAAUAUUAUUAAAAUAAGGAAGUCGAUAUUCAUAGUUCGAAUCACAUUCAUCCACAACCUUAACCCUCACACUUUUUCCAUUACUAUGGAUGUUGAUAUACUUCAAACCCCUCUUUCCGUAGUUAAACCACCCAGUCAAAAGUGCCACUACAAGGUAAUCAUUUGAGUGGUAUUGGUUGUUACAUUCUGACGGUCCACUGCCAUCCCCGCCAGCCUCGAAAUUGUUAAGUGUCAACAUUGCUUUUGUACUACUCAGCAUAGGCGGUGAACACUUGUACGUCAUGUAAAACUUUCCAUCCUUACAACAAUUCGAGACAUUUUGAAGAUUACAUUGACCCGGCGGUGGAUUUUUCCCUCUUAUCUUCCCACUAGGUCUUGCAUGAUUGAGCUUCAACACUUGCAAAAAUAUAAAUAACACAAAGGAGAAUUAAAAAGACAGUUGAACCAACUUUGUUUCUUCUUUGUUUUUUCCUUUGAAAUCCAAUUUGGGUUUAAUGUCUGGGAUGUGAAAAACUACAACUGGGAAAAAAGCAAUAGAUAGAGAUUAUACCUUUAAGUGAUUCAAGAUAUCAAUAGCUUGGAAACAUGAAAUUAGGACAAAUUUGUGGUACUUUCGACUUUUAAGAAAGAUAAUUUUUUUGAAUAAUUUUAUUAUAGGUUCUGAUUAUAUUUACUUUUUUUAACACAAUGUUUAGAACUACUCAUAUCUCAUCCCCAACCCAUAAAUAGGUGGAUAAUGUGCUUCAACACACUCAAAUCCACAUUCUCAUAUAUUGAUAACAAUACCUAUACCAGUCGAACUUAGACUCAAUUGACAAAAAUGAUAUUUUUUUAAUUUGCUUAAAACCUUCUGGUGGACCACUAUAAUCGAAAGACAUAUAUAAGUACAACAUCAUAUACCAAAAUUUUGUAAUUGUUAUAGGAAUUUAUAAAAUAUAUUGAAUAUUUUUGUAUUGUCGAAUAAUAUGCAUAAAGUAAAAAAAAAAAAAAACGAAGGAUGUUGCAGUAAAUAAUUGGCUAAUAUAGAAGGGAACUUAGACUUUGUCGAAACCACUUUUUAUUAUAAUUUAAAAAAUGGGAAUCGACUUUUAAAAAAGAAAAUAGGAGUUGCCACCGAUCUUUUAUUAAUGUGUGAUCGGUUCACCAUGAAAAUUAUUUUUUUGGUCUGCGAAAUUUUGAGAAAAUAGAUUCGGGAGUCGAUUACGCACGAGGAAGGGUUAGCACCCUCAUGAUGCCCAAAAUUGGUACCGAAUUCAUUGUUUAAUGUCUUAAUGUCGAAACCUUGAAAAUAUUUUAAAUACGUUCCUUGAUAAAAGACUUUGAACAAACUAGAUUGAAUAAUGAGACGCACUUAUCUCAAAGAAAUAAAUUAUCAUACCCAGUGAGUUAGGGUGUUACAAUUCUAUCUUCGAAAUUAAAUGUGUACCCAUUUUUUAAGAAAAUCAUGUAUUCGAAGAAGGAUAUUCGAUUAUUUAAGUCGAUCGAGAAAUCCAAACCCAAUAAGUUAGGGAUCAAUUUUCUCGAAAUUCUUAAACAUCAAACAUUGCCUUUAUUUUAAAAUUGAGAUAACAAAAUGUCGUAUCCAGUAAGUUAGGAUCCAACAUUUUGAAAUCUUAAGAAUUUUAUUGUAGAAACCAUGAGGUUUUUUUAAUUACCAAAGAGAUGCUUAAUUCCCCAAAUUCAUCAUAAAAAUUGAACCCCAGUAAGUUAGGGCACAAUUCUCUCGCGAAUUAUGAAUGUCGAGUAUUAUAACAUCUAAAAGGGAUUUCAAAACUUAAACCAUAUUAAACACAAAAUUUUAAUGAAAGAAAUUCGAUGGAAUAAUGUACAAUAUUAAGCAGUCAUUUGUAAACAAAAUGCAAUCUAAUGAUCUACGAAUAAUUAACAAAUACAAACAAGCAAUACAAUACACCCAAGAGCAAUUCUCACAUCAUAUAUUAUAUUAACAUUUAAAAGCUAAUGAAUUUAAAGUCCAUCAAAACACUAAAUAAAUGAAUGCACAUGAAAAUGUACAAAUUUUAAAAUAAUUUAAGAGGUAUGAAAUAAAGAAAUUAUAAUUCAAAUAAAUUGAAAAUAAAUAUUAUAUAUAAGAAUUUGAAGUAAAUCACAAUUAUAGUUGAAGAACAAUUGUCAAAUGGAAUAAUAAUAAAAAUAUCAUAAUUAAAAAAUAACAUAUAUUUAUUAAUUUAAAUAAAUAAUAUUUGUAAAAAAAGGAUAAUAACGUAUAAUACAUAAAAUGAAAUAGGUAAAAUACACCAAGGAGGGUUUUUUUUAUGGAAUAAAUUACGUAUGUUUUAAAUAUAAGUAGAAAAUACAAUGAUAAAAUCAAUAAUAUACAUUUAUGUAAAAUAAACAUAUUUGAUAUAAAUUAUAUAUACACAUGUGUAUAAAAUAAUAUUAUAAGGGCAUUAUUAUUAUUUUUUAAAGCACAAAAGUAUAUGAAGACACAUUUAAAAAACGUAUUAUAAAAUAUAUAAAUAAUAAUUAACCUAAAAUAUAUGCUAAUAUAUUAGAAUAUAAAAAAAAAGUAACGAUGUAUAAUGAAAUAAAAUAAUGUAUGUGCAUAUAUAUGUGAAAAUAAGUAACUAUGUAUACUAAGAUAAUCAUAAUAACAAUAAUAACAAUAAUAAGGAUAAUAAAUUAAAUGAUUUUUAGCAAUAAUAAUAUAACAGAGGACAAAAUUAGCAAUAAAACAAUAAUGCAGGGGAGAAAUUUAAAAUAAACAAAAGAACGGGUCCAAAUUGCAAAGCGCGAAUGACAUGGGGGACCGAAAGGGGAAUAUUCUCCACCCUCUAAAACGCGGCGUUGCACGCUGGACCAAAAUGAAACAAAAACAGAAUGUGAGGCCAAAUCAGAAAGAAAGAAAACACUUGAUUCGAAAGCACCAGAAAAGGGAAGGGGCUGGCCAUGCAAAUAUCCCUCCCUACGCCAAAACACGCGGAUCUAGCCGCGUCUGGGUAGGGUCAUCGGGUCGUGGCCUAAACGACACCGUUUCAGGGCCAUUGAAUCCGGUCCAAACGGUGUCAUUUCAUGAUUUCCCCCUUAACCAACAUUAAAACUACAUUACCCUAAGCAGAAAAGAAAAGAAAACCCUAAAAGAAACUAAUCCCCUCCAUUCAAACGGCGCGCCGCUUCAACCCUUUCAUCCCGUUCCAACUCCGAUUACGGCGGAGUGAACCAGGAUCCGACGCCCCCACCUCGAAGGUGAGUUUCUACUUCUCCUCUUCUUACUCUCUUCCUUCAAUCAUUAAAAAAAAUGAAUAUGAAAAAAAACAAACAUGAAAACAUCACAGAAAAAGAAAAUCGAAGGAGAAUCACCUUUCGAAAACCUCUUUCUCUUUGAUUUCUGAAUUUUUUUUUACAAUAAGUGUAUGCUCUCUUUUUUUUUAUCUUUUUUUUUGUAUUUUCCCUCCCCCUGUUUACAGCAUUCGAAUGGCCUUUUUAUGGCCCGCCUUCAAAAUAAAAUUAAAAUAAUAAAAAUAAAAGAAAAUGCUCCCCCCAAAAUCCCCUCUGUUGCCCCUAUUCUGCCAUCUUUCUCUGCGUGUUUUCAUGUGUAUUUUGUAGGUACGAGGGCAGAGGCUGACGUGGCAUGUACGGAGGCAAAACGAGCAGUGGUGGCGUAUGUGCGAAGGCACGUACGCUGGCAGAGGCUCGACACGUGGGGACGAAGGCCUUGGGUGGUUGCGACGUGGCACGUAUAGAGGCUAACUGGUGUGCGUGGAGGCUGCUAGGGUUUGCCACAGUGCAUUAUGAUAUUGGGUCUUUUGGGCUGAAUCGGUUUAUUGGGUUUAGAUUUAGGGCUUUGGUUAUUGGGAUGGGGUGCAUUGGGUAAUUCGGGUUUGAUUCUAGGUAGUGGGUUGUGUUUAGUUUGGGCCUUAUUGAGCCUAGUGUAAAAGGACUAUUUUUGGACGUUUAAUUUUGGUUUUAUAUUUAUUGUUUAUUUAUUUUUGAUUCGGGCCAGGCAAUUUUGGGCUAUUACAGUUGCCCCUCUUUACUCAUUGUCGUGUAACGGGAAUGAAGCAAAGACUAAAAAAAUGACCAAUUUUGCUCGGUCGAGCUUGGACCUUAGUGUUCUUCUUCUUCAAGUAGCCACAUUCCAACCUACUGUAUCUUCAGAGGUAUUGGAAUUGGUGCUUCGAUCCACUCUACCGUAACUUUAGGGAGAUAGGAUUUGUAACUCGUAACUUUAAAAGAACAAAACUUGCUAUCUCUAAUUGGCAAGACUUGAUACGAUCUGCUCUACUGCAACUUCAGAGAGAUAAGAUCCAUUAGGUUAACCCGCUCCACUACAACCUCAGGGAGAUAGGAUUAUCGACUUCAGUCUGCUCCACUUCAACCUCAGGGAGAUAAGAUUUGCUUCCUCAGUCUGCCCCACUGUGACUUCAGAGGGAUAAGACUUGUUUUCUCAGUCUGCUCCGCUGCAAAUUUAGGGAGAUAAGACCUGUUGCGAUCCACUCUGUUGCAACUUCGAAGAGAUAAGAUCUAUUACUUUAAUCCUCUCUACUACAACUUCAGGGAGAUAUGAUUAUCAGCUUCAAUCUGCUUCCUUACACUUGAAGAUAAGAUUCGUCGUCUUCGAUCUGCUCCGCUACUGCUUAGAGAGCAAGAUCUGCUAUCUUUACUAAUCUGUUCUCUAUGGAACAUAGCAUGUGUAAUGAACCUAAUUAUGCCUAAUGGUUAGGAUGACAUGAUCAGAAUGAAUCUAAUGCUCCUAACUAGACAUGAGUGAAUGGUAUUUACAUGAAUACAAUAUGUUGUCGUAUUACUCAAAAUCUAUUAAAGCUUUUAUCAUAAUCGUGCUUUAACACCCUCUUUCCUAGCUGGUGCCCCCAACAAAACACUUAAUUAAAUUGCCCUUGCUGUAAACCUUCAAGCUCGAUUCAUUGGGUUGUGUUCAAUAUGCAACUCGAAAAAUGAGGAGCUCUGGUCUUUUCUUCAUCUUUCCAUCACAAUUGAAGGAUACCAAAUGUGCAAAUCCUUGGUUUUUGUACCACCCUCAAAAUGCCAUAUUAAAUGCUUGUGCACGAAGAAUUUUCCUCCAAGGAGAUCUCUCUUGUCUAACUCAUGAUUAUUGUUGACACUUCGUUCCAUUGAUGCUUCUAUCAACAAAAUCCGAAGGGAUUGUUUAAAAUCAGACUUUUUCUUAGAUUUUUGACCUUUAAACCUGGUUCGUUCUAAACAAUAGUCCUGUUUCAGAUUACUGUAUUAUUUAGAAAUUUUUCAGAGUAAUGUGCAAAACUUACUUUGUGAAAGUUUUAGUAGUCCAUUAAUCAUUAUUUCAAUGCAACAUGUUUGCUGAAAGAUUAUGACUAUGGAUAAAUGUUGGUUCUAAGCAUAGCUCGAAAAAGAUAAAAUAUGGACAAUAGCGAAAGAAGAAUAACAAAGAAGUUGAUUGAGAAUGUGUAUAUUAAUAAAAAAGGAAAAAUGUAUUAACACAUUCAAUACAAUAAGAACUAAGUGCCCCAAUUAUCGCAGCUUGAAUUUCUCUGUACAAACUUCUGAAGACUAUUCUGAGUUUGGCAUGUGUUUAGGAGAUCUGCAGUACUCUGUCGAUACUCCAAGAUGUCGUAUGUCCUUUCUUGUUGGUUCAGGUAUAGCAUGAUCAUCGUGUGCCCCGAUCAAACUUUGAACAGUUCCAAUCUUCUCAUGCCCCAUUCUGACCAAUAUUUGAGCCGCCCUUUUCGGGUUUUCGACUCAAAUCCCCUUUGGUCUCGAGGCGCCCUUUGCGGGUUUUCACCUUAGCCUCUCCAAAUCCUUUUUUUUCUUUCUUAGAAAGCAAAGCGCCCUUUACGAGUUUUCACUUUGGUCCCCUUCUUUCAAGUGAAGUAUUUCUUGACGAAAUCUACGUUUACGGGGUUUGGCAAACUUUUACCAUCCAUCUCACUUAGGAUCAAAGCUCCACCGGAGAAGGCCUUCUUUACAACAUAAGGACCUUCCCAAAUUGGUAUCCAUUUUCCUCUAAAGUCUUUUUGCAUAGGAAGAAUCUUUUUUAGCACCAAGUCUCCUUCGCGAAAAUCUCUGGGGCGAAUUUUUUUAUUAUAGGCUCGUAUCAUUCGUUUCUGGUACAUUUGCCCAUGGUGAAUGGCUCUUAACAUCUUUUCCUUUAUUUGGUUCAACUGGUCAUAUCGAGAUUGGACCCAUUUGGCUUCGUCCAACUGGAGUUCAGAUAAUACUCGUAGAGAGGGGAUCUCAACUUCAAUGGGUAAUACUGCCUCCAUUCCAUAAACUAGAGAAAAAGGUGUUGCCUUGAUAGAAGUUCUAACAGAUGUUCGAUAGGCAAUGAAAGCAAAUGAUAACUUCUCAUGCCAAUCUUUGUAAGUCUCAGUCAUUUUCCCCACAAUUCUUUUAGUAUUCUUAUUGUCCGCCUCCACUGCACCAUUCAUUUUUGGACGAUACAGCGAUGAGUUAUGAUGUUUGAUCUUAAAUUGGCUACAAACCUCAGCUAUUGUGCUAUUGUUCAAAUUCAACGCAUUAUCGGAUAUGAUUCUCUUAGGCAUUCCAGAUCGACAAAUGAUCUCCUUUUUCAAGAAUUUGCUGACUGCUGACUUCAUGACAUUUGCGUAUGAAGCUUCAUCUACCCACUUGGUGAAGUAAUCAAUGACUACGAAGAUGAAAAGAUGCCCAUUAGAAGCCUUUGGCGAUAUCGGCCCAAUGACAUCCAUACCCUAUAUGGAAAACGGCCAUGGAGAGGUCAUAACAUGAAGUGGCGAAGGGGUGCAUGCAUCUUGUCUCCAUAAAUCUGACAUUUAUGGCAUUUCUUGGCGUAAUUAAUGCAAUCCUCUUCCAUAGUAGACCAAUAGUAUCCAAAUCUCAUGAUCUGUCUGGCCAUGGUGAAACCAUUGGCGUGCGUCCCACAGAUACCCUCAUGGACUUCUUCCAAAAUUUUCUUAGCUUCCACGAUAUCCACACAUCUUAACAGUACUUGAUAUUUUCUUCUUUUGUAUAGCACUUCCCCAUCUAAGACAUAUUCGAUGGCUAUUCUUCUCAAAGUUCUCUUGUCGUUCUCUGUUGCUUGACUAGGGUAUUCCCGAUUCUUCACAUACUGUAGGAUACUCUGAUACCAAGGGUGAUCGUCUUUUCCCUUCUCCUCAAUACUGUAGCAAUGAGCUGGGGUUUCAUAGAUACUCAUCUGGAUAGGCCUCAUUACUUCAAGCAUGUUCACCUGAAUCAUCGGAGCUAGAGAAGCCAAUGCAUCAGCCAUUUGGUUUUCCUCUUGUGGGAGAUAACAGAAGGUGAUAUCGUCAAACUCAUCAACCAACUCGAGGACCAGCUUGCUAUAACUGAUUAGCUUAGGGUCUCUAGUUUCCCAUUCCCUUUUGAGUUGGUAUAUCACCAAUGCGGAAUCCCCAUAUACUCUUAACACUUUGAUGUUCCGCUCGAUGGCUACACGAAUGCCCAUAAUACAUGCUUCAUAUUCUGCCAUAUUAUUUGUGUAAUCAAAGUCCAACUUGCUAGCCACAGGGUAAUGAUCUCCAUUCGGGGAUACCAAGACUGCCCCAAUUCCAUUACCCAUAGCAUUCGAAGCUCCGUCGAAAUUUAACCUCCACACGUGAUCCCUUUGAUGAUUUUCUUCAGUGCUUGUCACAUACAUCAAGUCCUCGUUUGGAAAAUCGAAGUUUAAAGGCUCAUAGUCCUCCAAGGCUCUACUAGCUAGGAAAUCAGCUAUUGCAUUCCCCUUUAUGGCCUUCUGACUUACAUAUACUAUGUCAAAUUCAGAGAGUAGGAUCUGCCAUCUAGCCAUUCUCCCGUUUAAAGCAGUUUAUUCCAUCAUAUAUUUUAAAUGAUCCAACUUUGAAAUCAGCCAAGUCGUAUGAUACAACAUAUACUACCUUAGUCUUCGUGUUGCCCAGAUUAAAGCACAACACAAUUUCUCGAUUGAUGAGUAUCUCAUUUCACAGCCAGUAAAUUUCUUGCUGAGGUAAUAUAUUGCCCUUUCUUUCUUUCCCGUUUUAUCGUGUUAGCUCAAUACACAUCCCAUGGAAUUCUCAAACACCGUUAGAUAUAAUAUUAACGGCCUAUCUGGACUUGGCGGUGAUAGUACGAGAGUAUUAGCUAAAUAUUGCUUUAUCUUAUUAAAAGCCUCCUGACAUUCCUCAUCCCAAUCGCCCGGAUUAUGCAUAUUUAAAAGGCGAAAUACUGGAUCACAUUUCUCAGUCAAUUGUGAGAUGAAUCGAGCAAUGUAAUUCAAUCUUCCUAGGAAACUUCGGACUUCCUUCUGAGUGCGUGGAGGAGGUAGGUCUCGGAUUGCCUUCACUUUGUCCGGGUCCACCUCAAUCCCCUUCUUACUAACUAUGAAGCCUAAUAACUUCCCUGAUCUGGCUCCAAACGUGCAUUUUGCGGGGUUAAGCUUGAGUUGAAAUUUCCUCAAUCUCAAAAAUAAUCUUUUCAAGACUUGAACAUGCUCUUCUUCAGUUCUAGAUUUUGCAAUUAUAUCAUCAACAUAGAGUUCGACCUCCUUAUGCAUCAUGUCAUCAAACAAGGUCACCAUAGCUCUUUGAUACGUUGCUCCCGCAUUCUUCAAUCCGAAAUGCAUUACUUUGUAACAAAAUGUUCCUCAUAAAGUAAUGAAUGUUGUUUUCCCCAUAUAUUUAGGGUGCAUCUUUAUUUGAUUGUAUCUAGAAAAACCAUCCAUGAAAGAGAAUAGUGAGUAGCCCACCGUAUUGUCUACCAAAGUAUCAAUGUGAGGCAAUGGAAAAUUUUCCUUUGGACUAGCCUUAUUCAAGUCCCUGUAAUCCACGCACAUUCGUACCUUUCCAUCCUUCUUGGGAACAGGGACGAUGUUAGCUACCCAAUCUGAAUAUUUGAUCUCCUGUAAGAACCCAGCAUUGAAUUGCCUUUUGACCUCUUCUUUUAUUUUUAGCACAACAUCAGGUUUCAUCCUCCUGAGCUUCUUCUGAACUGGUUUACAAUAUUCUUUUAUAGGCAGACGAUGUACCACAAUGCUAGCACUUAGCCCGGGCAUAUCUUGGUAUGACCACGCGAAAACAUCUUUGAAUUCUCGAAGCAAAUCAAUGAGGUCUUGUUUUGUCUUUGCAGUUAUUUCAGUUCCAAUUUUCACCUCCUUUCCUUUCUCUAGGCUCACGAUUUCUAAUGAUUCCCUAUAAGGUAGGAUAUGCUCAUCCUCUUGUUCUACCAUUCUCGACAAGUCCGGAGAUAUACCACAGUCUUCGUCAUUUUCAAAGUCAUGAGAUCCCUCUAAACACAUGUCUUGCUCAAAAAGAAACUCCGUGUUUGAAACAGCGUCACUCAUGUUAUUGAUAUCUGAGGACCUAUGAGGGCAUAUCAAAGAAUAUACCAAGAAUAUAAAAAUUUAUGAAUAAUUAUCUAUACAAUAAGGUUACAAAUGAAAGAAUUAUUUGCAGGACAAUCAAUUAACCAGAAAAUAUUUACUUGUAUGAAAAGAAAAAAUAAUAAUUGCUCGAAAUGAAUGUAAAGAUAUAUUUCAUUAGAAUAAUGAUAUUCAGGCUCGAGCAUUUUUCACAAAGGAUUCCCUAUCAUUUUCAGGCUAAAACAACAAGAAUAUUCUGAGCAUUACUCUGAAUAAGCCCUAAAGACUACAGAGAUUUCUUCCGCAGUCCAAUUGUUUAGCUCGCUCCCAGGUUCGUAAGGGCAGAUCUCCAACAGGGCCUUUUUCUCCGCUAUUUCUAUAGCGUUGAUAUGAACAUUUUUCAACAUUUCUUCAAUGCCUUCGUUUCUGGACACUCCUCGCUCGGGGUGAAUAAACCCACUCGACACAAAAAAUGUAGAUAUGUGAGGAAAGGUCAAAGGCUCCCAUUUAACUUCAUAUCCGCUCAAACGUGCCCUUCUUCUCUCUUGCUUGUAUCCUAAGCCAAAACUAUCAAACUUUUCCUUCAGCAUCGGUGUUUCAAUCUUUCCUUGAAGAUAUUUUCCUAAUCUUUUUCCGGGUGAAGCUUCUCUUCCAAUCAGCAAUCGCAGCCCCAUCUCUGUGGUCCUGGAUAUUUUCGGUACCAAAAUUCUGCUUCCUUCAGCCAUAAACAUUGCGUUCACAAAUUCUAAUGACCGAAAAGAACAUUCCACUACCUCAUCAUCAAUUUCCACAUAAGGUGCAUCACCAGUUACUGUUGCGAUGAUAUCUUCCUCUGUAUUUAUUGUUAUCAACCGACCCUCUGAUACUAAUUUCACCUUCUAAUAUAGCGAUGAGGGUACUGCCCCGGCUGAGUGUAUCCAUGGUCUUCCCAAUAAACAGUUGUAGGAAGGCUUAAUAUCCAUUACUAAGAAGUCCAACUCAUAAGUAAUUGGGCCAAUCCUUAAUGGUACCUCAAUUCUCCCCAUAACCCUCUUUUCCGUUCCAUCAAAUGCUCUGGCUAUGCUCUGGCAGGCUUUCAUGUGUGAACUGUCCACCGGUAACCGACUAAGAGUAGAUAAAGGUAAUACGUUCAGUACAGAUCCAUUAUCAACCAAGACCCCCGGGAGUGUACACCCUUUGCAUCAGGCAGUAACAUGCAGGGCUUUAGUUGAACCCUUCCCUCCAGAUGGUAUUUCGUCAUCACUGAAGAAGAUAAAAUUGUCAGCAUUUAUAUUGUUGACCAAUUGAUCCAGCUUGUUCACCAAAAUAUCAUCAGCCACAUAUGUUUCAUUUAGUACUUUCAAUAGUGCAUUUCGAUGUACUUCUGAACUUAAAAGUAAAGCUAAUAUAGAAAUACGGGCAGAUUGUUUGUGUAGUUGUUCCAUAACGCUGUAUUCGCUGUGUUUCAAAAACUUCAAAAAUUCAUUCGCCUCCUCUUCUUUUAUUGGUUCAUUAACCAAUAGUUCAACUUCCACUGCCUUCCCUUUCCUCUGUUCUUUCUUUCAAUUCUCUUCUCUUGAUGAUUCUGCCUGAUCGUCAUAUCGCUUCCCAUUACGUGUGUAAGAACUUAUUUCCUGAUUUCUCUCUGCUUCUUUUCCCAAAAUUGUCACGUUACAGCCAUAAUUCCAUGGCACCAUUUUGUUAUCCUUGUAUGGGAAAUUUGAUGGUUUCUGGAUUACAAUUUUUGGUGUUAUCUGGACCCUAAACUCAUUGCUCUGAGGACAUGAAAUGAUGACUACAGGAUGAUUCAUUUUCGUAGUCUUUGUUGCCAACUCUGAUGCGCAAAUAUUUCUUUUAUCCUCUACUUCUUCAUAAAACCUCAUCUCCUUAUUAUCCAUCAUGCUUUGGACCAGAGCCUUAAAUCCCUCACAUUCUUGAAUCUCAUGUCCUACUUCACGGUAGAAUUCACAAUAGCUUUCAGCCUCAUACCUUUCUUCAGAAUCUGAAAUAACUAGCCCCCUCUUCGCCAUCUCUCUCCAAACCCAUUUCAACGGGGUUUUUACUUCAGCAAUGUCGUUCUUGACUUCUUCUCCUCUGCUUUCGCUCAUCAUAUUCACCCCCUUAUCAGCAUGAUUAGGCAACGGAUGUUCUGCGUUAGGUGAGUCGUCAAAUUUGACAACACCCAUGCUGAUGAGCCUCUCAACUACCUUCUUGAAAGCCAUGCAAUUCUAUAUUGAAUGCCCUGUAAUUCCCGCAUGGUAAUCAUAUUGUGCAUUCGUAUCAUACCAUUUGAGAUACGGGGGUUGCAAAGGGAUUAAGUAAAAGGGAGAGACAACGUGUGCAUUGAACAACUUCUGAUACAGCUCCUUGUAUGACAUCGGAAUUGAUGUGAAUUGGGGCUUCUCAAUACCCUGUCUUACGCCAGAUUCUUGUCUUGCUGAACCUUGUUGACUAGUAGCCAUCUUUCUUGGCUGAUUCACUGUAACCGACUUGUUAUACGCAUUUACAUUGUUUACCUCAUUUUCCUUCCUUCUUGAGGCUAGCCUUUUGUUACUCUCUCCUGCUUCUAUUUUCCCAUUUCUUAUGGCAUUCUCAAUCAUUUCACCAUUCAUUACUAUAUCUGAGAAACUUUUUGUUGCACUUCCUAGCAUGUGCGCGAUGAACGAGGCGUUUAAUGUAUUGAUAAAGAGAAUUGUGGUCUCUCUUUCUAGGAGCGGCGGUUGGACUUGGAUGGCAACUUCCUUCCAUAUUUGUGUGUACUGUUUGAAACUCUCACCCGAUUUCUUCUCCAUAUUUUGUAGUGUAAUUCUAUCGGGGGUCAUAUCCGUUACAUGGUUGUACUGUUUCAUAAAUGUUUGUGCUAGGUCCCUCCAUGAACCAAUUUUGGUACGACUCAAUUGAUUGUACCAUUUAGAUGCUGCCCCUACCAAACUGUCUUGGAAACAGUGGAUUAACAACUGAUCGUUAUUAACGUAGCCAGUCAUCCUUCUACAGAACAUAGUAAUGUGGGCUUUGGGGUAGCUAGUUCCAUUAUAUUUCUCAAAUUCAGGCAUAUUGAAUUUGGAAGGUAGUACUAAAUUUGGGACUAAGCUUCAUUCUUUAACGUCGAUUCCCUGAUUACUAUCAGAGCUUUCCAAGGCUUUGAAUUUUUCCUUCAACCGCCUAUACCUAUCUUCCCAUUGUUUUGGCACUUCCGCGCUUGCCUUUCCUUCUUCAGCUGUUUCAUCAAAACCUGCAAUAGUAGGAUUGAUUGGGUUUUCUCCUGGGUUUAAACUCAAUCGUCCUUGACAAAUUGUGGCACCAGUUUGUAAUUGUUGCGGCCUAAUUGUGACAGACGGUCCUCUUGGGUACAUUUCAGUUUGGGUUCGUACAUUUGGUGGAGUGAAACCCGGAGGAUAUAAUGGAUCCUCACUACCCUCUCCAUGAUCGACCAUAGGGCCCUUUCCUUUAUCUACUCCUCCCGUCAAUAGAUGGGUCAAUUAAGCCAUGGCAUCCUUUUGAGCUUUGAUCAAUUUUUCCAUCAUGUCCUCUUGAAUUUUAUCUAGUCGCUCUUGCAUUUAUGCUUGUAAUCGUUCUUGCAUAUCCCUUUGCAUUUGCUCCAAUUUCUCUAUUCUUUGGUCCAUUUCCUUAGUUUUCCGUCGAGUACAGUAUUGAUGCUUAAUUGGUGAGCUUUUAUCGGUUUCCAGGUUAACUGUAAUGAUUUUAACCAAUUAAGGUCUUUUGGUGAACUUUAAUGCAUAUGAUGCAAUGUAAUGCAAUGCAUGAAUGCGAAAAGACGUCGAUUCUAAUUCAAUUUCAUUUAGAAAGCUUCAUUUGGAUAACAGCAUUCUUUACAUAAAAUAGAUUACAUAUACAAAUUUGCCCUAAUGCUCAGAACUUUAAUCUUUUUAAAUAGCGAAGCAAGCUCUCUUCCCCGAUCUGAUUCCAACUCGUAUUUUACGCUCAAAGUGUCAGCUUGUAUUGCCAAGGUCUGCAAGUAAUCGGCUACCUCCCGAAUCUAGGUCACGGCUUCUCCCAUAACGUGAUCUCUGUCUCUAACUUGGCUCUGAUAAUAGUGGAGUUGUUCUUUUUAACGUUCUUCAUUUGCUUCAAAAAAUGCAACCCGCAUCUCAUAGUCUUGUAACGCCGCCUCUAACUCUUCCACUCUUUUCUUUGUUUCUUCAAUCUUGUUCAAGCUCGCUCUAAGCUCUACCGCAGUAUUAUGAUUUCGGUAACGAUGAAGAGACCUUUCAAGUUCAAUUAUCCGUGCCUUUAAUUCAUCCGUCUCACUCCGGCUUUCUAACAGAUUCCUCUCCAAGGCCUUGUUUUGUUCCUGAGUCUCUUGGCAUUUCUUUUCCCAUCCAUCGGCCUUGUUUCUUUCUUCCUGAAUCUCUCGUCGCCAUUGCUCUAAAGUCUUUCCCAGCCCCUCGGUUCUCAUUGAUACUCGUAGCUUUUUAUAGUCUGUCUUUAAGCUAUCCAGAUCCUCCUCUACUUUAUUCUUCCCUUUUUUCAAUUUUUCAGCUUCUAACUUUUGGACGUCAACGUCUAGCCUCAAAUGCAUCUUCUCUUCUUCCAACUGCUCUAUUUUCUUUUCGAGUUCUAAAUUCCUCCUUUCAAAAUCUUGUUUUAUAAUCUCCAACUCUGAUGGGAUCACUUGUAGGUACUCCUCCAUUGGUCGAACACCCUCCAAGUUUAACUCUGGAAUGUUAUUAUUAAUUCUCUUACUUCGCCAUUCACAGUACUUUGGAGUUGUCAUUGAACCCACAGCUAGCCUUUUCAUCCUAUGAACCUGAUUCCAAGCCUGAGAAAUUUCAUUCACCUUUCCCUUGUAAUUGUUUCCCCGGUACGAGAACUCACAUUGAGUUAAACCAUGCGUCGCCGGCACAAACUGUCUUGAAUUGUAUUACCUUAGGACCAACAAAGGUGCAUACCCGAUGGCUCCCCAGAUCCCUAGCAACGGGACCCAGUUAAAGCUUCCACAACGAUAAAGAAUUUCAUCAGGAAUCAACUAGGGAGCUCUCUAUUCCACAUCAUCAUCUUGAAGAUUUUGCAGGAUUGCUGUCCAAUUUUCUUCUGAUAUGUCGUACCUUCUUGGCGUAGCCACUAUCUCUUUUAACAGGGAGCAAUGCCCAGAGAAAACCUGAUACAAAACUUUGUCGACCUUCCAGAAAUGACUAUGGAACCAGGCUAUCAACAAUUGCACACAACCUAUAAAUCUGCCUUCACCAUCUCGCCUACAUGCAUUCAAAGAUCUAAAUGUUUCAGCAAAAUCGCAGGAACGGGUGUGACCCCUUUACCUAACCGAUCAAAGAGAUUUGAAACCACUUCGUCAACAUGCCCCAAUGCUCUAGGGAAGAUCACUAACCCGUAGAUACUCAAAGCGAACACAUCGACCUUCUUUUUCCCAUCCGGAUGCGCUAAAAUCAAGUCUCGCAGAUUUUUCCAUGAAAUACAUUUACACUCCUCUUUUUGCUUGAUCCUGGUCGUGAUCCACUGCUCGCUCAUGCCAGUAAUAUUCAUCAUUUUCUUCCAAAAUGCCAAGACAUACGCGGCUCUAGAAUAUGCUUUAUCCACCUGAAGCCUUGGACAAUGUAGUAAAGCCGUAUAUUCCUCCACCGUAGGUACCAGAUCUACUUUGCCAAAAGUGAAACCGCUAUAUGCAGGGUUCCAAUAUUGAGAAAGGGCCCGAAACAAUCGCUCAUCCACCUUGACAUCGAGCAAAUACGGUAACUCUCCAUAGUUAGAGUAGAACAACUGCUUGGUCUCAUCAUUCCACUUAUCCCAAAUUUCUCUCAGCUCCUAAAGGCUAUUUUACGUCACACUAAUACGAGUGUAGUCCCACAGCUUUGACACAUAUCCUUGGCUAGGCUGUCUCCCUUUUCCAAUUGCACUUUCUCUGACCAUAUACGGACCAUGGCAUUGUCUUCCACUUUAUCAAGAAAGUUGUUCUUCAUGACAAACUUCCUAAUUUAACAAUCGAACUUGAAUCGACACUCUUUCGAAUGAAAUGACAUGCAAACAUAGCAAUAAACCACCAUAAGUCAGUAUAACAUAUAAACAAAAUUUGCAACAAAUAUGAGAGAAACAAGCAUUUAUAUGGGCAAUCCCUAGGGUUUUGGGGAGUUCUACCUAGGUUGGGUUCCUAGGCUAUCUAUAUGCGGUUUGGUUAUAAAGUUGAGGUACUCGAACCAGCAGAUUCCUCAGUCUUCACCCAUUAUAGGCUCAUACAGACCGAGUUCGGUUCAGAGGAAUAUAUUUCCCUAUGGCUGGACGGAGAUGAAAAUCUCACGAAGACAUAAGUACGGAUGUAUCCCGAAAGUGAUCUACUAUCCUGCACGGAUGUGAAAACCUCACAAAUGAGUAGCUUCUCACUCCCACUUAAAAGGGGUAAGACUAAACAGUCUUUAUGUAAUAUGAUUACAAGUUAUAAAACACAAUUGACAUAAAUCAUACAAACACAUGCAAAGAGAAGAUCAUAAAAUUAAAUUUUUAAUUUUUGACAAAAAGACAAAAACAAUCAAUUUUACGGCCUGACUCUCUUGGUUUCCCUAGUGGAGUCGCCAAGCUGUCGAAACCACUUUUUAUUAUAAUUUGAAAAAUUAGGAUCGACUUUUAAAAAAGAAAAUGGGAGUCACCACCGAUCUUUUAUUAAGGUGUGAUCGGUUCACCAUGAAAAUUAUUUUUUUGGUCUGCGAAAUUUUGAGAAAAUAGAUUCGGGAGUCGAUUACGCACGAGGAAGGGUUAGUACCCUCGUGACGCCCAAAAUUGGUACCGAAUUCAUUGUUUAAUGUCUUAAUGUCGAAACCUUGAAAAUAUUUUAAAUACGUUCCUUGAUAAAAGAAUUUGAACAAACUAGAUUGAAUAAUGAGACGCACUUAUCUCGAAGAAAUAAAUUAUCAUACCCAGUGAGUUAGGGUGUUACAAUUCUAUCUUCGAUAUUAAAUGUGUACCCCUUUUUUAAGAAAAUCAUGUAUACGAAGAAGGAUAUUCGAUUAUUUAAGUCGAUCGGGAAAUCCGAACCCAAUAAGUUAGGGAUCAAUUUUCUCGAAAUUCUUAAACAUCAAACAGUGCCUUUAUUUUAAAAUUGAGAUAACAAAAUGUCGUAUCCAGUAAGUUAGGAUCCAACAUUUUGAAAUCUUAAGAAUUUUAUUGUAGAAACCAUGAGGUUUUUUUUAUUACCAAAGAGAUGCUUAAUUACCCAAAUUCAUCAGAAAAAUUGAAGCCCAGUAAGUUAGGGCACAAUUCUCUUGCGAAUUAUGAAUGUCGAGUGUAAUGGCCCAAUAUUUCCCGGCCCAAUAUAAAUAAUACAAACCAAAAAUAUUAAUAAGAAAAUGUCCAAAUACAUAAGGCCUAACGGGGCCUAACCCGUUUUAACCUAAACUCCCCACUGUUCAACCCAUUAUAGUCCCAAAUCAGAAUCCCAAACUAGCCUAAACUUGGGAAAUCAGAAACCCUAGGCAGGCAUUCAGCCCUAGCACAAGCGCCGCAACAGCGGCCUCCAACACGCCUCUUCCGCUCCACGCCAGCCACUGCCCUCACACACGAGCCUCACGUGCACCACCAUUAUGCGAGCCUCCGUACGCGCGUUCCCGCUCACAUACGUGCGUGCCACAUCCCAACUGGCCCUCGUACGACUGUACCUGCAAAUACACACACACAAGAGCAGCGAAAAAACAACAGAAAAGAACAAAUAGCAGAUUUUUAGAAAAAAUAGCAGAUUUUUAGAAAAAAAUCUUGUAAAUUUUGAUUUUAUUUCCGACUAUAUAAAAGCCGUUUUGGAAUUUGUAAAAGGAUCCUUUUUUUUACGCAUUCAAUAGAGAAUAUCAACAAACGAAAAAAAUUAAAAGAAAAAGGUGAGUUUAGAUUUUAUUUUCAAAUUUUUCUCUCGAUUCUUUGUUUCUUUAUUUCGAUUUUUUUAUUCAUUUUUAUUUUGAUUUACUAUUUAAGAAAGAAAACAGAAAGAAAAUGAUUUUACCUAAUUGGAAUCGUUGUUUGCUCCGUUGUGAUCGAAGUCAAACGACGGUUCAGAAGAUUGGAGAACUCCCGAACAUUCGAGCGGCGCAGAGAGUUUAUUUCUAUUCUUUCUUUUCCUUUAGGUUUUCUUUUAGAUUGGGAGCAUUUUUGGUAGUUUAGGGUUUUGCGUUUUAAACCGUGGAGGAAACGGCGUCGUUUGGAGCCAAGGCCAUGGCUUUAAGACGGUGUCGUUUGCACGUAUAGACCCGCGCGGUGACCCGACCCGGGGAAGGAUCCACGCAUUUUGAGACCAUUGGGCAUAUUGCGCAAAAGGUCCUUCUGCUCCUGCAGGAUCUUUAAAUCGGUUCUUUUUUUUUACUUUUUAAUUUUUGCCCCGCAUUUUGAAUUUAUCUCGUUUUAGUCUACGUCAAUGCGUUGCGUUUUGGGGAAUGGAAUAAUUUCCAAUCUGGCCCCCUUGUAAUUCAGCUUAGACCCUCCUUGUUUUUUUCUAUUAUAUUCGUGGCCCUUUAAUUCUGUUCUGACUGUUGUUUAGUCCCUCUUGCAUUUUUUAACCAUUUAAUUAUUUUUAUUAUUAUUGCUAUUAUUAUUUUUAUCACUAUUUAUUAUUGUUCUUAUUAUUAUAUUUGAUUGUAUUUCUAUUUAUCUAUAUGAAUAUAUGUUACUUUAUUAUUUAUUAUGAUUUCUAGACCAUUUUUAUUAUAUAUAUGUACAUAGGCAAUAUAUUAUUCAAUUUUAAACGAUAUAUAUCUUUUUACAUAUAUAACUUUCAUUAAAAUUAUUUUUUACCUCACAUGAUGUUGUCGGUUUUAUAUUAUUUUUUAUUUAGUACGUAAUACUCUUUUAGGUUAAGUAUAUACUAUUUUGUAUGUUAUAUUUCAUAUGUUUUUUAACUCUAUGUUUGGAUUCCUUUUUGAAAGUCUCAUAUAUAUGUAUUAUUUACUUUAGAUUUAUUUUCGCGUACGGUUUAUCAAUUAUUAUUCUCUUUCUUUCACGCUAUUUAUUUCUUAAGUUAUUUUUAAAUUUGUAUGUUCUAUUUAUGUUUAUGUAAAUUUUCUUGGUUUCAAUUAGUUUUCUAUUGCUUGCCAAUGUUGGUAUUUGUAUGAUAUGUGGUUGAGAUAAUUGUUGCUAUGCUUGUUUGUAUUUUAUCUAUUGAUUAUUUGAUGUUAUCCUUUAUGUUGUACGCCAUCAUUCACCUGCCUUUUAUUUCAUUCAAAAGUUGCAUAUCGUUUAAAUACCAAAAUCAUUUAUUCGAAAAUCUUCAAAAUACUCGAAGUUUGGAAUCCUCGAGAGAAUUGAGCCCUAACGUAUUGGGUUCCAAAUUUCCUCGUCGAAUCUAAAUAAUCGAUUUUUUUUUGUUUUAAACAUACAAAUUUCAAAUAAAAACCCAUUCUUGGGAAUUCGACACGUUGUGUCCUAACGCAUUGGAUAUGACAUGUUAUUUUCUCGAGACGAGGAUUUUAAAAAUAAAGGCAAUGUUCGAUAUUUAGGAAUUUUGUGAAAUCGAACCCUAACUUACCGGGUUUAGAUUUUCUCAUUUGACCUAGAUAAUCGAUAUCCUUCUCAAAAUGCAUAGGUUUUAAAAGACGAGAGAUAAAUUUAAUUUUGAGGAUUUAAAAUGUUGCACUCUAACUUACUAAGUCUGACGAUCUAUUUCUUUGAAAUAAGUGAACCUCAUCGUCCAAUUCAUUUUACUCAAAUUUUCUUUUCAAAGGAUCGUAUUUUAAAAUCUUUUCAAAGUUUCGACAUUAAGACAUUAAACAAUCGAUUCGGUGCCAAUUUUGGCCGUUACGAGAGUGCUAACCCUUCCUCGUACGUAACCGACUCCCAGACCUAUUUUCUCAAAUCUCGCAGACCUAAAAUUUAUUUUUAAUGGUGAAUCGAUCACACCUUAAUAAAAGAUCGGUGGCGACUCCCCAUUUUUGUUUGUAAAAGUUGAUUCUCUUUUUCAAAAAAAAAAUGGUUUCGACAGCUUGGCGACUCCGCUUGGGACGCAUUUAGAGAGUCAAGCCGUAAAAUUGAUUGUUUCUUGUCUUAUUAUCGAAAAUUGAAAAUUUGAUUUGAAAAAUUACGAUUCUCUCUUUGCAUUUGUUUGUAUAAUUACUUUUUUAUACCUUGGCAUCAUAUUGCAUAAGACUGUUUAGUCUUGUCCCUUUAAGUGGGAGUGAGAAGCUACUCCUUCGUGAGGUUUUCAUCUCCGUGCAGGAUAGUGAAUCACUUUCGGGAUACAUCCGUACCUAUGUCUUCGUGAGAUUUUCAUCUCUGUGCAGCCAUAGGGAAAUGUAUUCCCCUGAACCGAACUCGGUCUGUAUGAGCCUAUAAUGGGUGAGAAUCGAGGAAUCUGCUGGUUCGGGUACCUUGAAUUUAGAACCAAACCUCAUAUAGUGGACUUAAGAACUUAACCUAGGUAGAGCCACUCCAAAUCCCUAGUGGUUACCUGAUUAGGUACUUUCCGUUUUCCUUGUUUACUUUUGCUUUGCACUAACCCCUCUUGAUUUGUUUUGAUUGUGAUUGCAUUGCAUUUGCAUCUUAGGAAAGAGAUAUUGAUUCAGUCUCGAUUACUAAAUUAGAAAGCUUGUCAUGGAAUACGGAUUCCUUGAUAAAGUGGAAAACAAUAUGGUUACCUGAAUAUAUUCUAAGAAACACAAGAAGAGCGAUGGAAGAGUUCGUGAUCUUUACUUUGUAGCCUGAGGAUUCAAGGUGAUUGUCUAAGAGCCUUCAACGUUCCAACUCCUUUAAAGAAGCUGACGAGCUUCAUGAAGAUGGGCAGGUGAUGGAUCGCGACCAAGACCAAGAAAGGGAGCUAGUAGUGGCAUCUAUUGGAAAUUGGUGAGAUUUUCUCAAACAUGCGCAUGAAGAAGAAGAUCGAUGUUGUUUCUUGGAAUAUGAGGGUGAGGCCGUACAUGUAUCCGUUUUAUGUAAAGAAAUUUGUCUUCUAAAAAAGUUUUCUAAAUAUAAUUGAAUCAGAAUCAACGUCUCUUUAGGCAUGCAUUUCAUACAUCUGCAUCAUAUGCAUUAAAAUCCAUUGAAAGAGUCUAAACGAGUAAAUUUAUUACAGCUAAUCUGGAAACCGACAAAAGCUCACCCAUUAAGCAUCAAUACGGUACCCGUUGAAAGACUAAGGAAAUGGACCAAAGAUUAGAGAAACUGGAGCAAAUGCAAAAGGAUAUACAAGAACGGUUACAAGUGCAAAUGCAAAUACGGCUAGAUAAAAUCCAAGAAGACAUGAUGGAAAAAUUGAUCAAGGCUCAAAAAGAUGCGAUGGCUGAAUUGACCCAUCUAUUGACUAAAGGAGUAGAUAAGGGGAAAGGUCCUAUGGUAAAUGAUGAAGAAGAAGACAAGGAUAGACCUUCCUAUCCUCCGGGAUUUACACAUCUAUAUGCGCAGGUUCAGACUGAGGUACCUCUGUGCAGAUCCUCUAUUUCAAUUGAGCCUCAGCAGUUUCAAACUGAUGUUUCAAUGCCGAUGAACUUUCAGGCUGGAUCAGGUUCUAAUCCUAGAGAUAACCGAGUGAAUCUUGUUAUUCCUGAUUUCAAUGAAAUGGCUGAAAAAGAGAAGGCAAACGUCGAACUGUCAAAACAAUGGGAGGAUAGGUGUAAAUGGUUGGAGAAAAAAUUCAAAGCCCUGGAGAGCGCCGAUAGUCACCAUGGAAUUGAUGCGAAAGAUCUGAGCUUGGUUCCAGACUUAGUACUCCCUCACAAGUUCAAGAUGCCUGAAUUUGAGAAAUAUAGUGGGACCAGUUGCCCAGAAGCCCAUACCACCGUGUUCUGUAGGAGAAUGACUGGGUAUAUUAACAAUGACCAGCUAUUAAUACAUUGUUUUCAGGAUAGCCUCAUUGGGGCAGCGUCGAAAUGGUACAAUCAGUUGAGACGUACCGAGAUUGGUUCAUGGAGGGACCUAGCACAGGCAUUCAUGAAACAAUACGGUCAUGUAACGGAUAUGGUUCCCGAUAGAAUCACCUUGCAAAAUUUGGAAAAGAAAUCAAGCGAAAGUUUUAGGCAGUAUGCACAGAGGUGGAGGGAGGUUACAGUCCAGGUUCAGCCACCCCUCUUGGAGAAAGAGACGAUAAUGCUCUUCAUCAAUACACUGAAGGCCCCGUUCAUUACGCAUAUGUUAGGAAGCGCAACAAAAAGCUUUUCUGACAUAGUUAUAAAUGGUGAAAUGAUUGAGAAUGCUAUAAGAGCCGGAAACAUUGAGGGGGAAGAGAGUGAUAAGAGGUCAACCCCAAGGAGAAGAGAAAAUGAGGUGAACAACACAGGUUACUCAAAGUCAGUAAGUCAUCCAGGUAAAGGGGUCGCUAGUCAACAAGGUUCAUCAAGACAAGAAUCUUAUGUGAAACAAGGCACUGAAAACCUCCAGUUCACGCUAAUUCUCAUGUCGUAUAAAGAGCUGUAUCAAAACUUAUUCGAUGCGCAUAUUGUUGCCCCUCUCUACACAAAACCUCCACAGCCUCCAUACCCCAAAUGGCACGAUACGAAUGCACAAUGCGAAUAUCAUGCGGGAAAUACGGGGCAUUCCAUAGAAAAUUGCAUUGCCUUUAAAAAACUGAUUGAAAGGCUUAUUAGUAUGGGUGUCAUUAAAUUUAAUGAUUCCUCCGGUACGAAAAAUCCAUUACCUAAUCAUAAUUGAUAAAUAGAGUGAAUGCAAUGCACAAGAAACUGAAGAAUGGACCUUGUUAGAUAUCCGCCCUUAUAAACGUGGAAGUGUUCUAAGAAAUUAGACUGCGAAAGAAAUCCCUGCAAUUUUUAGAGCUUAUCUAGAGUAAUGUUUAGAACAUUUUUGUUGUUUUUAGCCUAAAAUGAUAGAAAUUCCUUUGUGAAAAAGGCUCAUGUCUGAACGUUAUUAUUUUAAUGAAAUACAUCUUUGCAAUCAUUACUGAGCAAAUAUUUUCAUUCUUUACAAACAAUUCCAGAUUCUUUCAUUCUUUUGGAUUUUCUUCCAAAUUAUUAUUCAUUCAUUCAUAAUCAUAUGGUACAAUUAUUAUUCAUUCAUUCAUAAUCAUAUGAUACAAAUAAUUAUUCAUAAAUUUAUACAUUCUUUUGUACAUUCUUCGGUACUUAUUAUGGGUUCCCAGAUAUCAAUUACGUGAAUGACUCUGCUACAGACCCAGAUUUUCCUUUUGAGCGAGGCAUGUGUUUAGAGGGAUUUCGUGACUUUGAAAAUGACAUGGAUUGUAACCUAUCAUCUGACUUGUUGAGGAUGGUAGAGAGGAAAUUUUACCCUACAAGGAGAUAAUAGAGAUUGCGACCUCAAAGAAACAUGCAUUGCUGGAGAAACAAAGUAGGGCCUCGUCGAGUCACCUUUAGAGUUCAAAAAGGCCUUUGUAUGGUCAUACCAGGAUACGCCCGGGUUAACCGCUGAUAAUGAAAUCUACACAACAGCGCGAUGGCAGAAAUUUGCAGUAUGAACGAAUCAAUUCUUUGUCGGGGUAAUGCCUUUCUCAUUGGCUCAGCAUAGCUUUGCCCAUUUGAAGUCGAGUUUUCAUCUCUUCAAGUUUUGUUGGAUCUCAUCCUGAUGGAAGAGGAAGAUCAAAAUUUUUUAGUCACAGUGUCACCCCAAAAGGCUCUAUGAAGGAAGUUCGAUAUCAAAGAAGAUUCUUCGAAAGGGAUAACGAGGACUUGCCUAACCUUAUGAGCUCAAAAAAAUCAAAAAAAUAAAAAAAACAAAGAAGAAAAAGAAAAAUCAAAAUCAAGGUCAAAAUGAAAAUGAGAGAAAAAGAAAGAAGAACGAAAAAGAGAAAAAUCUAGAUGAAAAAAAUCAAAAUAAAAAAAUGAGAAAAAGAAAAGAAAAUGAGAGGCCAAGGCAAAAACCCGCAAAGGGCGCUUUGUGACCAAAUGUGGUUUUGAGUUAGAAACCCGAAAAAGGCGACUCAAAUUUUGAGCAAAAUGGGGCAUGGACAUCUCCAUCAUUGAAGGCUUUUAAUGGGCAUUGCUUCACUGUUGAGGUCAUUAAUUACUUCAUCAAAGGGAUAAAUGUUGCUUCGUACGCCAAUGUCGUCAUAUACUUAUUCCAGAGAAGAUGAUGUUGGAAAAUGCAUUGAACUUAAAUGACAGCACGAUAGCUGAGGGCUGUAAUCAAUUCAAAAUCAGACACCACGGUUUGUCACUGUAUUGCAAAACAAUGAAUUGUAAAAAUGACUGAGACUUACAAGGGUUGGCAUGUGAAGUUACCAUCUGCCUUCUUUGUUUUUUAAAACGUUUAUCGGAGCUUUGACUAGGCAACACUGUUUUCUCUGGUUUACAAGACGGAAGUAGUUCUACCAAUUGAAGUAGAAAUCCCUGUUCUCUGGGUUUUAUUUGAGUAGAAUGAAUCCAAUCUGAUCAAAGGAAAAUGCUAAAAGCUAUUCAGUACAGUCAGAUGUACCAAAGGCAAAUAAUGUGAGCCUACAAUCAAAAGGUUUGCCUCAGAAAAUUCCAUGAGGGGAACCUAAUUUGGAGAAAGAUUGUUCCUACACAAAAGGAUUUUAGAGGAAAAUGGAUGUCAAAGGCCUUUUCCGGAGAAGCUCUGAUCUUGAGUAGGAUAGAUGGUAAAACUUGCCAAAUCUUAUAAACUCAAAUCCAGUCAAGAAAUACUUCGUUUAAAGAAGAAGAAAGGACCAUGGUGAAAACCCGCAAAGGGCACUCUAAGUCAAAAAAUGAAAAAUGAAAAUAAAAAAUGAAAAAUGGAGAGGCUAAGGGGAAAACCCGCAAAGGGCACCUUAGGCCAAAGGGGAUUUAAGUUGAAAACCCGAAAAGGGCGGCUCAAAUAUUGAUCAGAAUGGGGCAUGUGGUAAUCUUGUUAUACUUGAAUCAACAGGAAAAAGUAUGCGACAUCUUGGGGCAUCGACAAAGCACUGUAGAUCUCCUAAACACAUGUCAAACUCAGAAUAGUCUUCAGAAAGUUUGUACAGAGAAGUUCAAGCUGCGAUAUCUGGGGCACCCAAUUCUCAUAUUAUUUUUUAUUCCUGGAAUACCUUUUUCUUUUCCAAGAUAUACAUUCCCAAUUAAUUUCUUUGUCAUCCUUCUUUACUAUUUUCGAUAAUUUGUUCUUUCGAGCUAUGCUCAGAACCAACUUUAUUCUUAUCCAUUGUUAUGACCCUUUUUUUGCAAACUUGUUGCAUUGGAAUAAUGAUUAAUGGACUAAUAAAACUUUCACAAAGGAAGUUUUGCAUAUUACUCUAAAAAGUUUCUAAAUAAUAUAGGAGCCUGAAACAGGACUAUUGUUUAGAACACACCAAAUUUAAAGGUUGGAAAUCUGAGAAGGAAGAGUCUAAAUUUGGAUUUUCUCUUUGGAUUUUGUUGUCAAAUGCAUUGAUUGAGUAGAAUGAGAAGAUGUCGGGUUAACGACAAAGUUUGAAUAAGCAAGAAAGCGAUGAUCACCAGGCAAGGGGAGGAGGUUACCUUGGAGAAGAGAGUCUUCAUUUGCGCAUGAGUUUUUGGUACGACACCCUAAGAAUGGUGUAAGAAACCAAAACGAUUCAGAUCAUGUAUCCUUGAUUUGUGAUAGGAUUGAGAUAAAAGCCAUAUUUCUACCCUUGAAUUAUAGUGGGAGAAUGAUGGUACAAAUUUUGCGCCCCAAUGGAUUACAGUAGGGGCAACCUGACUCAAUGUUUCUUCAAAAAAUGCCAGUCGAGAAAGAAGGUGUUAUAGCACUUUAGUGAUAAAGCCUUAAUAAACUUCGAGUAAUGACAACCUAAGCGGGAUCAUUCUCAAAAAAUAAAAUUCUGCAUUCAUAUAAACACCAUUCACACAUGUCUAGUUAGGAGCAUCUGGUUCAUUUUGAUCAUGCCAUCUUAAUCAUUAGGCAUAAUUAGGUCAUGUUCCCCAAGGAACAGAUCAGUGGAGAUGGCAGAUCUUGCCUGCCUAAAUUGACAGCGAAGCAGAUCGAAAACAAAGCCUUGCCUCCAUCGGUUGCAGUGGAGCUGGUUAAAGAUAGCAGAUCUUGCCUUCUUGUAUUGAUAGCGAAGCAGAUCGAAAACAAAGUCUUGCCUCCAUUGGUUGCAGUGGAGCUGGUUAAAGAUAGCAGAUCUUGCCUUCCUGCAUUGACAGCGAAGCAGAUCGAAAACAAAGCCUUGCCUCUAUCGGUUGCAAUGGAGCGGGUUAAAAAUAGCAGAUCUUGCCUUCCUGCAUAGACAGUGAAGCAGAUCGAAGACCCCAGCCUUGCCUCCAUCGGUUGUAGUGAAGCAGGUUAAAGAUAGCAGAUCUUGCCUUCCUGCACUGACAGCGAAGCAGAUCGAAGAUACCAGUCUUGCCUCCCUCGGUUGCAGUGGAGUAGGUUGAAGAUAGCAGAUCUUGCAUUCCGGCAUCGAUAGUGAAGCAGAUCGAAGAUUACAAGUUCUAUAUCCCUGGCCAGCAGUGGAAUAGGCUGAAAAUUGCAGAUAUUGUCUCCCUAAGCAGUAGCGGAGCAGAUCGAAGACAUCGAAUCUUAUCUUCAAGUGUAAGGAAGUAGAUUUAAGCCACAAGUCCUAUGUCCCUAACCAGCAGUGGAAUAGGUUGGAAAUUGCAGAUCUUGUCUCCCUAAGCAGUAGUGGGGCAGAUCGAAGCCAAAAAUCUUAUCUCCUUGAGAUUACAGCGGAGCUGAUUGAAGCCGGUAAUCCUAUUUCCCUGAGAUUACAGUGGAACAGAUUAAAAUAAAGGAUCUUAUCUCUCUAAAGAUAUAGUAGAGUAGAUCGCAUCAGGUCUUAUCUCCCUGAGAUUACAGUGGAACAGACCGAAGAAGCAAAUCUUAUCCCCCAGGCAAUGCAGUGGAACAGAUUAAAGCCACAUUGGUGAAUCUUGCUUCUCCGACAUUGCAGUUCAAAAGAUUAAAGCUACAACAGCGAAUCUUAUCCUCCGGGCGAUGCAGUGGAACAGAUUAAAGCCACAUUGGUGAAUCUUGCUUCCCCGACAUUGCAGUUCAAAAGAUUAAAGCUACAAUAGCGAAUCUUACCUCCCAGGCAAUGCAGUGGAGCAGAUUAAAGCCACAUCGGUGAAUCAUGCUUCCCCGACAUUGCAGUUCAAAAGAUUAAAGCCACAACAGCGAAUCAUGCUUCCCCGACAUUGCAGUUAAAAAGAUUAAAGCCACAAUGGCGAAUCUUACUUUCCAAAAGUUACGAAUUACAAAUCCUAUCUCCCUGAUAUUACAGUGGAAUGGAUCGAAGACGCAGUAGGAUGGAAUGAGGCAACUCGAAGAAGAAGAGCACCAAGGUCCAGUACGACUUGGUAAAAUUGGCCUUUUUAAGUCUUUGCUCUAUUCUCAUUACACAACAAUGAGCAAAGAGGGGCAUCUGUAAUGGCCCAAUAUUGUCCGGCUCAAUAUAAAUAAUACAAACCAAAAAUAUUAAUAAGAAAAUGUCCAAAUACAUAAGGCCUAAUGGGGCCCAACCCGUUUUAACCUAAACUCCCCACUGUCCAACCCAUUACAGGCCCAAAUCAGAAACCCAAACUAGCCUAAACUUGGGAAAUCAGAAACCCUAGGCAGGCAUUCAGCCCUAGCACAAGCGUCGCAACAACGGCCUCCAACACGCCUCUUCCGCUCCACGCUAGCCACUGCCCUCACACACAAGCCUCAUGUGCACCACCAUCAUGCGAGCCCCCGUACGCGCGUUCCUGCGCACAUCCGUGCAUGCCACAUCCCAACUGGCCCUCGUACGAUCGUACCUGCAAAUACACACACACAAGAGCAGCGAAAAAACAACAGGAAAGAACAAAUAGCAGAGAAAAAAUAGCAGAUUUUUAGAAAAAAUUCUUGUAAAUUUUGAUUUUAUUUCCGGCUAUAUAAAAGCCGUUUUGGAAUUUGUAAAAGGAUCUUUUUUUACGCAUUCAAUAGAGAAUAUCAAGAAACGAAAAAAUUAAAAGAAAAAGGUGAUUUUAGAUUUUAUUUUGAAAUUUUUCUCUCGAUUUUUUUUAUUCGUUUUUCUUUUGAUUUACUAUUUAAGAAAGAAAACAGAAAGAAAGUGAUUUUACCUGAUUGGAAUUGUUGUUUGCUCCGUUGUGAUCGGAGUCAAACGAUAGUUCAGAAGAUCAAAGAACUCCCGAACAUUCGAGCGGCGCAGAGAGUUUAUUUCUAUUCUUUCUUUUCCUUUAGGUUUUCUUUUAGAUUGGGAGCAUUUUUGGUAGCUUAGGGUUUUGCGUUUUAAACCGUGGAGGAAACAGCGUCAUUUGGAGCCAAGGCCAUGGCUUCAAGACGGUGUCGUUUGCAUGCAUAGACCCGCGCGGUGACCCGACCCGGGGAAGGAUCCACGCGUUUUGCGACCAUUAGGUAUAUUGCGCAAAAAGUCCUUCUGCUCCUGCAGGAUCUUUAAAUCGGUUCUUUUUUUUUUACUUUUUAAUUUUUGCCCCGCAUUUUGAAUCUAUCUCGUUUUAGUCUGCGUCAAUGCGUUGCGUUUUGGGUAAUGGAAUAAUUUCCAAUCUGGCCUCCUUGUAAUUCAACUUAGACCCUCCUUGUUUUUUUUAUUAUAUUUGUGGCCCUUUAAUUCUGUCCUGACUGUUGUUUAGUCCCUCUUGCAUUUUUUAACCAUUUAAUUAUUUUUAUUAUUAUUACUAUUAUUAUUUUUAUCACUAUUUAUUAUUGUUCUUAUUAUUAUAUUUGAUUGUAUUUCUAUUUAUCUAUAUGAAUAUAUGUUACUUUAUUAUUUAUUAUGAUUUCUAGACCAUUUUCAUUAUAUAUAUGUACAUAGGUAAUAUAUUAUUCAAUUUUAAACGAUAUAUAUCUUUUUACAUAUAUAACUUUCAUUAAAAUUAUUUUUUACCUCACAUGAUGCUGACGAUUUUAUAUUAUUUUUUUAUUUAGUACGUAAUACUCUUUUAGGUUAAGUAUAUACUAUUUUGUAUGUUAUAUUUCAUAUGUAUUUUAACUCUAUGUUUGGAUUCCUUUUUGAAAGUCUCAUAUAUAUGUAUUAUUUGCUUUAGAUUUAUUUUCGCGUACGGUUUAUCAAUUAUUAUUCUCUUUCUUUCACGUUAUUUAUUUCUUAAGUUAUUUUUAAAUUUGUAUGUUCUUUUUAUGUUUAUGUAAAUUUGCUUGGUUUCAAUUAGUUUUCUAUUGCUUGCCAAUGUUGGUAUUUGUAUGAUAUGUGGUUGAGAUAAUUGUUGCUAUGCUUGUUUGUAUUUUAUCUACUGAUUAUUUGAUGUUAUCCUUUAUGUUGUACGUCAUCAUUCACCCGCCUUUUAUUUCAUUCAAAAGUUUCAUAUCGUUUAAAUACCAAAAUCAUUUAUUCGAAAAUCUUCAAAAUAGAAGUUUGGAAUCCUCGAGAGAAUUGAGCCCUAACGUAUUGGGUUCUAAUUUUCCUCGUCGAAUCUAAAUAAUCGAAUUUUUUUUAAACAUACAAAUUUCAAAUAAAAACCCAUUCUCGGGAAUUUGACACGUUGUGUCCUAACGCAUUGGAUAUUACAUGUUAUUUUCUCGAGAUGAGGAUUUUAAAAAUAAAGGCAAUGUUCGAUAUUUAGGAAUUUUGUGAAAUUGAACCCUAACUUACCGGGUUUUGAUUUUCUCAUUUGACCCAGAUAAUCGGAUAUCCUUCUCAAAAUGCAUAGGUUUUAAAAGACGAGAGAUAAAUUUAAUUUUGAGGAUUUAAAAUGUUGCACUCUAACUUACUAAGUGUGACGAUCUAUUUCUUCGAAAUUAGUGAAUCUCAUCGUCCAAUUCAUUUUACUCAAAUUUUCUUUUCAAAGGAUCGUAUUUUAAAAUCUUUUCAAAGUUUCGACAUUAAGACAUUAAACAAUUGAUUCGGUGCCAAUUUUGGGCGUUACGAGGGUGCUAACCCUUCCUCGUACGUAACCGAAUCCCAGACCUAAUUUCUCAAAUCUCGCAGAACUAAAAUUUAUUUUUAAUAGUGAACCAAUCACACCUUAAUAAAAGAUCGGUGGCGACUCCCCAUUUUCGUUUUUAAAAGUCGAUUCCCUUUUUCAAAAAAAAUGGUUUUGACAUCGAGUAUUAUAACAUCUAAAAGGGAUUUCGAAACUUAAACCAUAUUAAACACAAAAUUUAAAUGAAAGAAAUUCGAUGGAAUAAUGUACAAUAUUAAGCAGUCAUUUGUAAACAAAAUGCAAUCUAAUGAUCUACGAAUAAUUAACAAAUACAAACAAGCAAUACAAUACACCCAAGAGCAAUUCUCACAUCAUAUAUUAUGUUAACAUUUAAAAGCUAAUGAAUUUAAAGUCCAUCAAAACACUAAAUAAAUGAAUGCACAUGAAAAUGUACAAAUUUUAAAAUAAUUUAAGAUGUAUGAAAUAAAGAAAUUAUAAUUCAAAUAAAUUGAAAAUAAAUAUUAUAUAUAAGAAUUUGAAGUAAAUCACAAUUAUAGUUGAAGAACAAUUGUCAAAUGGAAUAAUAAUAAAAAUAUCAUAAUUAAAAAAUAACAUAUAUUUAUUAAUUUAAAUAAAUAAUAUUUGUAAAAAAAGGAUAAUAACGUAUAAUACAUAAAAUGAAAUAGGUAAAAUACACCAAGGAGGGUUUUUUUUAUGGAAUAAAUUACGUAUGUUUUAAAUAUAAGUAGAAAAUACAAUGAUAAAAUCAAUAAUAUACAUUUAUGUAAAAUAAACAUAUUUGAUAUAAAUUAUAUAUACACAUGUGUAUAAAAUAAUAUUAUAAGGGCAUUAUUAUUAUUUUUUAAAGCACAAAAGUAUAUGAAGACACAUUUAAAAAACGUAUUAUAAAAUAUAUAAAUAAUAAUUAACCUAAAAUAUAUGCUAAUAUAUUAGAAUAUAAAAAAAAAGUAACGAUGUAUAAUGAAAUAAAAUAAUGUAUGUGCAUAUAUGUGAAAAUAAGUAACUAUGUAUACUAAGAUAAUCAUAAUAACAAUAAUAACAAUAAUAAGGAUAAUAAAUUAAAUGAUUUUUAGCAAUAAUAAUAUAACAGAGGACAAAAUUAGCAAUAAAACAAUAAUGCAGGGGAGAAAUUUAAAAUAAACAAAAGAACGGGUCCAAAUUGCAAAGCGCGAAUGACAUGGGGGACCGAAAGGGGAAUAUUCUCCACCCUCUAAAACGCGGCGUUGCACGCUGGACCAAAAUGAAACAAAAACAGAAUGUGAGGCCAAAUCAGAAAGAAAGAAAACACUUGAUUCGAAAGCACCAGAAAAGGGAAGGGGCUGGCCAUGCAAAUAUCCCUCCCUACGCCAAAACACGCGGAUCUAGCCGCGUCUGGGUAGGGUCAUCGGGUCGUGGCCUAAACGACACCGUUUCAGGGCCAUUGAAUCCGGUCCAAACGGUGUCAUUUCAUGAUUUCCCCCUUAACCAACAUUAAAACUACAUUACCCUAAGCAGAAAAGAAAAGAAAACCCUAAAAGAAACUAAUCCCCUCCAUUCAAACGGCGCGCCGCUUCAACCCUUUCAUCCCGUUCCAACUCCGAUUACGGCGGAGUGAACCAAGAUCCGACGCCCCCACCUCGAAGGUGAGUUUCUACUUCUCCUCUUCUUACUCUCUUCCUUCAAUCAUUAAAAAAAAUGAAUAUGAAAAAAAACAAACAUGAAAACAUCACAGAAAAAGAAAAUCGAAGGAGAAUCACCUUUCGAAAACCUCUUUCUCUUUGAUUUCUGAAUUUUUUUUUACAAUAAGUGUAUGCUCUCUUUUUUUUUAUCUUUUUUUUUGUAUUUUCCCUCCCCCUGUUUACAGCAUUCGAAUGGCCUUUUUAUGGCCCGCCUUCAAAAUAAAAUUAAAAUAAUAAAAAUAAAAGAAAAUGCUCCCCCCAAAAUCCCCUCUGUUGCCCCUAUUCUGCCAUCUUUCUCUGCGUGUUUUCAUGUGUAUUUUGUAGGUACGAGGGCAGAGGCUGACGUGGCAUGUACGGAGGCAAAACGAGCAGUGGUGGCGUAUGUGCGAAGGCACGUACGCUGGCAGAGGCUCGACACGUGGGGACGAAGGCCUUGGGUGGUUGCGACGUGGCACGUAUAGAGGCUAACUGGUGUGCGUGGAGGCUGCUAGGGUUUGCCACAGUGCAUUAUGAUAUUGGGUCUUUUGGGCUGAAUCGGUUUAUUGGGUUUAGAUUUAGGGCUUUGGUUAUUGGGAUGGGGUGCAUUGGGUAAUUCGGGUUUGAUUCUAGGUAGUGGGUUGUGUUUAGUUUGGGCCUUAUUGAGCCCAGUGUAAAAGGACUAUUUUUGGACGUUUAAUUUUGGUUUUAUAUUUAUUGUUUAUUUAUUUUUGAUUUGGGCCGGGCAAAUUUGGGCUACUACAGACUUCACCAACAUGGUUAUAAGUAGGGAUCCCAAAAUGGAUAAAUAAAAAAUUAGUGAUUUGAUUGGUUCGAUUGUGAUAUGUAUUUAAAUAUAAAAUAAAUUACUUAAAUCAAUAAAAAAAUUGAAAAUUAGAGGUGAAGAAUUAGACUAUUCAACCGAUUGAAUUGAUUUACUAAUUUUUUAUUUAUUUUAUUUUAUUUUAUUAUUAUUGAAUUAAAAACCGAUAAUCUAAAUUUUUACAGCAUUGGUUUAUUAACUCUUUCAGCAUAAAAUUCUUCUUACAGCAAACAACCAAGUGAAAAGAGCCAAAGAUGCAAUAACUAUUAAACAUUGCGAAGAAAUUUACAUUCUAAGUUAAGUGAACAACAUUGAUUUUAACCGAUGGAAAAUUUUUGUCCACGUGUUUUUUUUAUGAAUCCAACUUAUAAUUUAACUAUAAAAUAAAAUUGAUUGGUAUGGGUAUUGUUGUGAAUGCAGGAUGAUGUGGGUUUAUCCUCCUAUUUAAGAGUUGGAGAGAGGUUAUAAAUAGUUGUAGGUAUUGUUAAAAAAAAACUAUAAAAUAAAUAUUAUUUUUAUUGGUUAAGUGAUAAUAUUAUGUGGUCUCUUUUUAAAUUAAUUUAUCAAAGUGUCCCUAGUAUUUAAAUUGAUUCAUGUAAAUCGCAAUAGUAUGAUAGAAUUAAAUUAUUGAAAUUUUGAGCGAUUAAACACUUGAUAUGAAAUGAAAUAAAAAGAAACUUCAUCCAUUAAACCUCUAUUGAUUGCAAAAAAUUUUACACAAGGCAAGUGAAUCAUGCUGAAGACUUCUGCGGAAUACCCUUCCAUGAUUGAAUACCUUCAUGAAUCAUGAUCUCGGAAUUUUCUGAUGCAUAAAAAUAGUCAAAGUAAUCGGGUCAAAGUCUGCCACUAUUGCUUGGUACAUUCAUUGCUCGGUUAAAGAUAUGUAAAAAUGAUUAUUCGAUCGUGUUCAAUGCCAUGCUUGUGAUGGUGAUUGUAUGUGAGCCAUUCUUAAGGAUCAAAAUGAACACAUAAUUACAAACGAAGAAAUAAAUCAUGGACUCAAUCAGAACGUUUUAAAGUUUAAAGAUAACUUAGAAUCUCGAGAAUAAUUUGGAAAUAUUUGGUGCAAUUAACCCUUAACACUUCUUUUUAUAUAUAAUUGGGAGAGAAAUAGAGUUGUUUAGGAACGAACACAAGCUCUCGUUCCUACAACAUAAUGCUCUUAUCAUUAGGUCAAGAAAUUGUUGGCAUAAAACACAAGUUUAUUGCUUUUACAUUUUAGAGAACACACAGACAUAUCACUUUUACAUUAUUAUUAAUUUUAACAUUAACUCAAAGCAUAUAAGAAAUCUUUGUUCAACUGCAAACAGAUAUUAAAAAUGUGACUGAAGAUAUCAAUCAGUGUCCGACCAGUAAAUAUUCAUUUCUCCCCAAUCGUCUUUAGGGACUCCAAGAGCUUUCCAAACUGCUUUCGAGGCAUCAACGAUGUUAUUAGGACAAGGAGGCUGGUAAUCAUGCACCGAAUCACAUCCCAUCAUAGAAUCACAUUCGUCCACAACCUUAGCCUUAACGCUUUUUCCAUUGCCAUGGAUGUUGAUAUACUUCAAACACCUCUUUUUGUGGUUAAACCACCCGGUCGAAAGUGCCACCACAGGGUCAUCAUCUGAGUGGUAAUGGUUGUCACAUUCCGACCGUCCGCCUCCAUCCCCGCCAGGCUCAAAGCUGUUAAUUGUCAACUUUGCUUUUGUAUGGCUCGACACAGGUGGCGAACAUUUAUACGUUGUGUAAAACUUUCCUUCUAUACAACAAUCAGAGUCAUUUUCUUGGUUGCAUUUCCCCGGCGGAGGCUUUUUCCCUUUAAGCUUGCCACUGGGUUUGCACGUAUCUGCUUCAACAGCGAAACAAUCUGUAAUAAUUAAAACAAAGCAAAUGAAAAGAAAAACAGUGGAGAAUCCCUUGAUAAGAUUCAUAUUGAAUUUCUUUUGUUAACUCUUUGUUGAUUGGUGCCAAUGAACAUGAAGAUGUGGGGGUUUAUAUAGAAAUCAGCCCUCACAAUUUUAUAAAAAGUAUCGCAAGAAGGUGAACAAUGUGGCACAAAAGGUUAAAAUUUGCCACAUUUACGUGGCUGGAAUCAUAACAAUGUUAAAACACCAAUAAAUCAUCAUUGGACGAAGCAAUAUAUGUUGGGAAAUAAAGCAUCUAAGCUUCUAUUUAAUGGUUGUAGAGCCGGAAGCAUCUUACAUCAAAAUGUCAACCAGUUUUUAUACUGGGAUAAAGUUGGAGAUCUAUUAAUCUUUUUAAAGAUAAAUGUUACGCUACACAUGAAUUUUAAUUUAAUGUGCAAUUUGAUACAUGAAUUUCAAUACAUGAAAUUUUAAUUGUUGCUCGAAUGUAUCCGUGAAGUUUUGAUUCUGAUUUAACUAUACACAUUUAAAUAGAUAAAUACAUCUCUUUCUAUUCGUAUUAGAUAAAUAUAAUUAUUUGUGUAUACAAUAUGCAAGCCUAAUUAAUGUUAUAUUGAUAAGUUUUUUAAUAACUUGUGAAAAUUGAAUAAAUCAAAGUUCAUGCAUAUUUUUUAGAUUUAUCCCUAUUUUUUUUACUUAAUAUUGUAGUUCAGUCAUUGAUACCAUUAGUGUUUUCGGUCUAAAUUUAUUUACUAAUCGAGUAUAUUUACUGAGUUUAUAAUGAUUUGCUUCUAAAGUGCUUGAACAUGUUGGUGGCAAAUAUAUGUGGAAAAUAUCUUUUUCAUUAUACUCAAAUACUCAAAGUUAUACCUAAACUAUGACUAUGCAUAUAUAUAUAUAUAUAUAUAUAUUGAUAGGAUGUAAAAGAUUUAUAUAUAGUCAGAAAAAAAUAAUAAACGAGGAUCUGUUUGAUUCACUAAAAUUACUUUUGGAAAAUGAAUUCUGAAAAUUACAAAAUUUUAUGAUGUUUAAAUAAUUUUACAUAAAACAUUUUCUGUUAUCUCACAAACUUUCCAAAACUCAUUUUCCAAACAUUAUUUUAAAUAAAAUAACACAACAUAAACAUUUGCAUAACUAAAAAAAAUCUUUUCAUGAUUAAUCUAAAAUAUUAAAUUUGAUUGUUAAUUAAAUAAAUAAACAUCGUUUUGAAUUUUUUUUAAGGAUUUCGUUGAAAUAUAUAAAUAUAUAUUAUAAUUUAAUGGGUAAACUACACCUAAGUAUUGCUCUCUUUUUUUUCUUUUGUCACUCAACUAUUAUUUUUUUUUAAUUUGGACACCAAACUAUUGCCCCUUUUCUUUUUCUUUUUUUUUCAUUUCCGUUAAGUGUUGUUAAAUCUUUGGUGAAAGGGAUAGGGGUAAGCAAAACUCGGUUCGACUCAAAAAAAUAAAAAUAUUUUAAAUUUUGAGUUAAUCGAAUAGAGUUAUUCGGUUUUCUCAAGUUAACUCGAAUAAGUAAUUCGAGUUUCAAGUUUGAGUCGAGUUUAAUUUUACAAUUCGAAUAGCUCAAAUAACUCGAAUAAUUCGAAUAACUCAAAUAACAAAUUUGUGUAAAUACCCUUUUAAUCCCUAUCAAAUUUGAAAAUCAACAUAUUGGUCUCUCUCAACAAAAAUUACAAAUAAAAUAAACAAAAUUCAAAAAAGAUCUUUUAAAAUUCAAAAUAUUUAUAAAAAUUAUAAAUUUUAUAUUUUUUUAAAAUAAAAAAUAAAAUAUAAAUAUAAAGAAUAUAUAAAAAGGUGAAAAAAAUUUAACAUUUUCUAAAAUAAUAAUUUUUAGACCUAAAUAAGUAAAUUAAUCAGUCAAAUUUAUCAUAUUAAAGCAUUUUAUUUUUUUUCUCUUAUUUUGCUCUGAAAGAGUUUUCAAAUAUAUAUGGUUUCAUAUUAAUGUGAUGUAACAUGUAAUUAUUCAUGUUGUAAUAAGAUUUUAAUUUGACAUGUUUAAUUUUUUUAAUUUAACUCAAAAAAUUUCACUCGAUUCGACUCGACUCGAAUUUCAUUUCAGUACUUGACUCGAUUUGAAAAAUAUUUAAAUCGAGUUAGGAUGAUAAAAUGAGACUCAUCAACUUGAUUAACUCGAAAUUUUUUUACUUGAUUCAAUUAAAUGCUCCCCCUAGGGAAGGUAGCAUGACAGUUAAAAAAACGGUAUAAUAACAAAUUUAACCAUCAACUUUUACACAUUAUAAAGAUUUGGGCAUAUUAUAUAGAUUUGAUCACCCCUAAAGAAGGCAAAAGAAACAUACUAGGACUGCUUUAGGAUAUCCUUGCUUGACUUAAUAUUUUCAUCAACUGUGAUUGUUAACACCAUUUUUUUUAUGAAAACGGGGUCAACUUGGGUUUUGACGAAAACGAAAAAAACGGGAGUCGCCACCUAUCCUUUUUAAUGAGGUGUGAUUGGAUCACCUCGAAAAGUGGUUGUUUUUAAUAAACGAUUUGAUUUUAUUAAAACAACGGUUUUGGUCCACGAAAUUUAGAAAAACGGGUUCGGGAGUCGGUUACGUACGAGGAAGGAUUAGCACCCUCGUAACGCCCAAAAAAUUGGUACCAAUUUGAUUAGUUAAUAUCUUAAUGCCGAAAAUUGAAAACUUUAAAGAAAUUUAAAAUACGAUCCUUAAAAAACUCGAAUGACAUGGAUUAAAAUUCAAGAGGAUAUUUGGCUAUUUGGUUAAACGAGAAAUCGAAACCCAGCACAUUAGGGCACAUUCCUCGAAUUACCAAAUGCGAAACAUUGCCUUAUUUUGAAAUUUUUGAAAGGAUAUUUGGCUAUUAGGUUGAACGAAAAAAAUCGAAACCCAGCACAUUAGGGCACGUUUCCUCGAAUUUCCAAACGUUAAAUAUUACCUUAUUAUUUUUUAGAAAAAUCCUCAUCUCGAGAAAACGACAUGUAAUAUCCAAUGCGUUAGGACACAACGUAUCGAAUUCCCGAUGGUGAGCUUUUUUUUGAAAGAGUAAUCUCGAUUAUUUGGAUUCAACGAAGAAAAUCGGAACCCAAUACGUUAGGACUCGAUUCUUUCAAAGAUCUCAAAUAUCGAUUAUUACUUAUAUAUUUUUUAAAAUUUCUUUUUUGAAAUCUAAAUAAAAAUGAGCGUAAUGGAAUGAUGAUGGUGUAAGCAAAAUAAUCACGAGGCAAACAAAAUAUAAGUAAAUAAGAAGUCACAUAUAUAUAAAUAAAAUCAAACACGUAUGUACAAUAAUAAACAAAUAUAAAGCAUAACAAAUAAUAAUAACGGACAUGUAAAUAAAUAAAUAAAUGAAGAAAAUAAAUAAAAGAUAUAUAUAUAAAUAUAAGUAUUUACAUAUAUAUAUAUAUAUAUAAAUAGGUUAUAAAAUACAAAGAUAUAUAUAAUAUAAGUAUGUACGUUAUAAAAACGAGUGUAUGUACGUAAAUUUAUAAUAAAAAAACAUGAAAAAUAUAUGUAUAUGUGCAUUAUAAUAUAUAUAAGUAAAUAUGUACAUAUAUACGUAUAUAACUACCAUAAAAUAUAAAAAGUAUGUAUAUAAGUAUAUAUAUAAAUAUAAAAAAUAUACUCCUAUAUAUAUAAAAACAAUAAUAAUAAUAAUAGGACUAAAUCAAAACGGAAACGAAAUCUCAGGGCUGAAAUCAAAAAUAAAAUAGAGUAAGGGAUUAAAAUGUGAGGCGCGCGAAAAGUAGAAGGGCCAAUUAGGAAAUUAUCCCUAUUAAUCGAACGGCGUCGUUCUGCCAAGGCCCAGGCGCAUGGUUCCUGGACUAAAUUGAAACGGAUGCGAAAAUUUGUGGCCGAAAUUGUAAAAAAAUUUGAAGGAACCGCUUUGAACACACUACAAAAGCGGAGGGACUUAUUGCGGAAAUAUCCCAUUUUCAAAAAAUGCACGGAUCCUCCCCCUGGGUCGGGUCACCGCGCGGGUCAGGGAUAUCUCAAAACGGCACCGUUUCAAGCUGGGUAUUUAAACCCAAUUUUUCUAAAAAAAACAUUCAGCCCCCAUUUUUUCUAAAAAAUUUUCAAAAACUCUCUAUUUUCUCUCUAAAGCUCCGGCCUUUUGGGGUUCUCAACCCCCGUCGUGCCGAUCAUCGUCUUGCCUCACCGGCACCUUGCCGGGCACCAUGUGAAUUAAAAAGAAGGUAAAAAAAAUUUUCGCAAAUAUCAAACGUUUUUAAUAUAUAUAUGUAUAUAUAUGUAUAUAUAUGUAUGUAUAUGUAAAAAAACGUGUAUAAAAGAAAGAUGCGAAAACGAAAAAUAGAAUCACCUUUUUUUGAUUUUGUUGUUUUUAUUUCCGAGAGAAAUAUUACAAAAGGAAAAAAACCAGAAAAGAAAAAAGCCCCUAAAACAGAAAAGAUUUGGCUUUUUAUAGCCGAAGGAAAGAAUAGAAAACAUGUUUUUUUCUUCGUUUCUGCUUACGUGUUUGCCCUCUUCUUUGCAGGUGAUGUGACGAUGGCGGUGGAGUUGGUGGCUACCAGAGGAGUGGCGGUAGGUCUGGGGCAAGUGGCCGAUGAGACAUGCGGCGGCAGUACUAGGUGCGGCUCUAGGGUUUCAGACUUCUGAAACCCUAGUUUUGGCUGUUAGCUUGCUGGGUUAAGACAUUGGGCCUCGGGUUUGGGCCUGUUCUGUAAUGGGUUGGGUAGGUUAGGUUAAUGGUAAUUGGGCAUGUUUGUAAUUGGGCUCCGGGUUAGGCUAGUUGGGCUGGUGGGGUUUGGGUUUAAUUGUUAACAGGUUUUAUGUUUUGUUUUUGCUUGGGCUAGGGGUUAAUUGGGCCCGAGCAUGAAAAUUGGGCUUGUACAGUGAUCUUGAAAAUUGCUGCUAAAAAUCCUUUAAAAGAUGCAUAUAAAAUAGUCCAAGAAAUCACAACAAAAUUAGUAAGUUGCAUUCAGUCCAAUUGCAUAGUGAGCUGCAAUUGAUAGCACCAACACAUCAAGAUAUGAAUAAAUUUGGUGCAAUAACCCUUAAGACAUAGUUUUAUUGCUUUUACAUUUUAGAAAACACACCAUGUAUCACUUUUACAUUAUUAAUUUUAACAUUAACCCAAAGUAUAUAAGAAAUCUUUAUUCAACUGCAAACAUAUAUUAAAAAUGUGAGUGAUGAUUGUUGGAAAAUAUGGACAUCACAUAUAUAGUAAUGGUAAUUACAUUUUAUUAUUUACUAUCAUGAUAGUUUAGCCCAAAUUAAAAGUGAUUUAAUUUAGUUAAAGUUUUAUUGGGCUUUAAUUAUUAAAUAAAGUAUGAGUCAAAUAUGUGUAGAUACUCUAAUAAUUGAGUUCUAAUCAAAUUUUAAUUAAUGAUGGGCUAAUUAGGAAUUAGAACUAAUAUGAUAAUAUUAUAAAUAUUAGGGUUAUGGUCCCCAAAUUACACACAAUAUAUCUUUUCUAAUAUCCCAUCAUUAGGAAAGAGAGAGCAGAUAUUCUCUAAAUUCCUUGUGUGCUAAUUUGGAAGAUCAAAUCCCCAAGAUCUAGUAAAAGUUCAAGGAAUUCAUGGAUUCAGGUAUGCUUCUGUAUCUAGUUUUGUUCUUGAUUUAUUCUUGAUGAUUUGACAUAAUAGAUCCUGGUUUAUUAAAUUUUAUUUCAGAUUUAUUUUACAAAUCUAACAAGUGGUAUCAGAGCCUCAUCAUGUUGAAUCAUUGAGAAUGAAUUAAUUUUCUAUUAUUUUGGAUCGAUUCGAUUUUCAGAUUUUAUAGAUAUGAUAUUUCAAUUAUAUAUAAUGUUGAAUCUUUGAAAUUCUAGAUAACUUUUUUUAGGUUUUGAUUAAUUAUGAUUAAAUCUUUUUAGGGUUAUUUUUAAUUUGAUUUUCAUUCAAUGUUAAGUUUUUGGAUUAAUAUGAAAUUAUCAUGGCUUUUCACUUUCGGUCAGAAAACCUAAACUAUAUAGGUGUUGGUUUUAAAGGGAAAAUCUAUUAAAAAAAAGUUUUGAAUCUCGAAGGAAUCAGGGUAAGUUUUAAUGGAAUUGAAGCCUGACAAUUGAAUUUAAAAUAUGACUAUAUUAUUAAUGUUUCAGUAGUAUUACUUGAGUGUUUUUUUUUAAUGCGAUAUGCAUGUAUAUAUAUAAAUGCUUUGCUUGAGUUAUAUAUUCUUUGUAAUAAAACAAACGAGAAUCAUAUUUGGUUUUGAAGUGCAUUGAAUGCAAGUUGGUUUUUUUUCUUUAGUCGAUUAUUAUAUAUUUUAAAGAAAUAGCAGACAUGUAUAUUUUGAGUAUUCAUACAGCUUCAGUUAUUAUUUGUUGAUUCUCUAGAUUCAAUUAUGCUUCAAUAUUCUUUCAUUGUUAAUCAAUAAUGAGGAAUUAAGUGAACUUAUUACUCUAGAAUUUCCAAAAUUAAGAAUCUGUUCAUUCUUGAUUUCAUGAAAGUUGGUUUGACUGUUAUUCUUCAAUUGCAAUAAUGUGUUCAACUAUUAGAAUCAAUUUUUUAAUUUUGACUAUCUAUGGUAAUAUCUUUGAAAUCUAUGUUUCGAGUAUUAGGACUAAUAGAUUUGGGUUUUGUUAUAUUGUUAUAUGGUGGCUAUGAAUUUUCAUAAGUAGUUAUGCAUAUGAAUGCUUUUAUACAAUUUGGGAUUCUUUGGUGGUUGUGGUUUUUUUUUUAUUAUUUGUGCGUAUAAAGAAGUCUUAUGAUAAUGUCUUUAGUCAUGAUUAUAAAUUUGAGUUUACAUGAAAUAUGUAAGGUAAGCCAAUAUUAUUUUUCUAUUAUUAUAAUUGUGUAUAUAUAUUAUAUGCAUAUAAAUGAUUUUGAGGUUUAAUGCAUGAUUAUAGAUUGUAUGAAUAUGUGUUUAUAACCAUUAUUCAAUAAGAUAUCUUUUAUAGUUUAAUUGGUGAAAUUAAGUUUUGAUGGAUAUCGUUAAAGUUCUUUUUUUUUUUUUGCAAUGGGUUUUAUAUUCAAUUUUAUGAGUGCUUUGGUGCAAAUUCAUGUCAACUAUAUGCAUAUUUAAAUAAUUUGGUUUUAAGUUUGUUUCUAUAAUCUUAGGUUUUGGCAUCUUAUAUUUCCAAAUAUUUGGUUAAAUUAUGAUGAUAUGGUUUAUAGUAUGAAUUGUAGGAUAUGUCAACUAUUAUGAUUUUGUUUUUGAGAUUUAUUGGCUUGAAAAUAUUUUUCAAAUAUUCAUGUGAAUAUCUGCUAAUCAUAAAUACAACUUUGGAUUUACAUGGUAAAUUCAAAGUAAUUUUUUGUAUUUGAUUAUGGAUGCAUGUAUAUGCGUGAAUUACUUUGGUUUUUUUGUCCAUGCCAAAAUUAUGAAUACAUGUGUUUGUUAAUUAUUUGACUUUGAACCACUACAUUAUUUCUGUUUGGUUUUGAUAUAUAUGAUUUUGGAACAAAAAAAAGGUUUUUUAUUGUAUUAUUAAGACAAUCUUACUUUGGGUUAUUUUGGAGUCUAUAAAGCAAUAAAAAAUAGUUUUGACAUUUGACUAUUGGGUAAAUUUUAAAUUUAAAUAUUGGUAUGUUUAUAUAUUUUUUUAAAAUAACUUAAUUGAAGCAAUAAGUCACCAAAGUGAUUUUUUUUAUAAAUUAUUUUGUUUUAAAAUAUAAAAGGUUGUGUGCAUGUAACUUAAGUUAUGUUAAUAUUGAUCAGCCCAAAUGAAGGUUAAUAAUAUUACAUGUGACAAUUAUUCAAUUUUACAUGUGAGUAAUAAAUUGGCCCAAAGGAAGAUUUAUGGUUCGACAUGUUCUUAUUGUCAAUGUUUGAUUAUUACACCAAUAUAUCACUUACAAGUUAAUAUUUUGUCCAAAGAUAAAAUAUUAGUAGAGUGUUCGAUAUCUUGAGAUGAUGUUUACCUUUAUUCAAAUUAUUUUGGUUUAAAUUUGAAGUCUUAUGUGAGGUUGUUUAUGGCUUAUGAUUUAUGAUUUAUUCAACUAUUAUUAUAUUUGCCAACACCAUUGUAUGUUCUUUUGGGAUAAAUAUAUAUACAUAUAUGUACUAUUAUCUUUUAAUUUGAUUGAAAAAUGAAAUUAAGAGAAAUAUUUUGAAACAAAUAAAUUCAAAUUUUUGCUUUGGAUUUUAAUUAAGGAUGUCUAAUAUUUUAAAUAGAUUAGUUGAAACAAGAUGCCGCCAAAGUGACCUAUUUUGCGUAGAUUAGAUUAUUUAAAAUAUCAAGAUGACUAUAUGUUUUUGUGAUUCAUGCGUUUAUUAAUUGACCCAAAGGUAAGUUAAUAUUUGGCAGAAUUUCAACGACAUUUGUGGUGAUAAAUGUGUGACAAUUGUAAGGUACUUUAUGUGAGCAAUAUGUUAGUCCAAAGAUUAAUUCAUUGUUUGACAUAAUUUAUUGUCAAUGUUUGAUUGCUACAACAAGAGUACCGCUUACUGUUAAUAUUACUUUCCAAAGACUUGAUAUUAAUGUUGUGCUUGGUAUCUUGAGAUGGGAUUAGCCAUUAUCCUGAAUUUAUUGUUUACUUAUGAAUAUUGAUGUGAGCUUAUUUUUAUUUAUUUUUUGUUCUAUAUUCAGCUAAUUCAUCUUCUACAGCCACAAUAUCUGCUAAUAUAAAUUCUAUACCCAUGCUUAAUGGGACUAAUUUCAAUGAAUGGAAAAGGCACUUACUUAUAGUGUUUGGUUGUAUGAACAUAGACAUUGCACUAAGGGAAGAACAACCCACACCUCUCACUGCAGAAAACACCCCUUAUGUUAAAAGGGAUUUUGAGAGGUGGGAUCGGUCAAAUUGCAUGAGUCUAAUGAUCAUGAAGCACAACAUUUCAGAAGCCUUUAGGGGCACAAAAUUUGAAAAGAUUACUCAGGACAAGGUUUCCUUGACGAAUUUGAGAAACAUUUUGCUAAAAAUGAUAAGGUUGAAAUGACAUCACUUCUAACUUCUUUGAUGUCUAUAAAGUAUAAGGUUCAAGGAAAUUUUGAGCAAUCUAAAGGCUAUGAGUUUUAUGAUCCCACAAUUAAGAACAUCUUUGAGAUGAGAAUUGCAACAUUCUUUUAGGAUGUUGAGUUUGGAGGGAGAAAUAAGCUUAGAAACAUUGCUUUUAAAGAGGGAUUGAAUUCUAACUCAGUUUCUGCUAUCACUUUUAAUGAUGUUUAAGUUCUCAUACCUAUUAUUGAUUAAAAAGUGAAUCCAGAACCUCAAUAAGACAAUGUUGAACAACUCCCUAUUCAAGAUGAGGUAAUUGUUCUUGAAGAACAAACUCAACAACCUCAAGAAUGAAUGUCAUUAAAAAGGUCCACUAGAGAAAGGGUUAAAAAGGUCAACUAGAGAAAGGGUUUCUAAUUGCAUCAUCAUAUGAAUAUUAAGUUAAUGGUUUCUCAAUGGCAACAUUGAUCAUACAUUUAUAUGACGCAAUUAGAAAACUUUGUGUCUGAUGAUGCAAAGGUAAUGAUUUGAAAAUUAAAGAAUUUCAUCUAUGGGCUUAAGUAGACUUUUCGUCAAUAAAAUUACAAAUUUUACUAAAUGAUUAUCUCAUUCAGUUUAGAGAUGAUUUUUUUUUAUAAUCGUAUAUACCAUAAGUUUAGUGGGAGUAAGGUUCUAUAUUUGGUUUUAUAUAUUAAUGACAUACUGCUUGUCAAUAAUAAGUAUAGCCUCAAUCAAUUCCCUAAGAAUGAUUUUGAGAUUACAAAAAUGUAUAAGAUUUUUUACAUUUUAGCCGUGGAAAGUCUAAUGUACGUUCAGGUUUGUAUACAUUGGAAUAUUGUGUACACUAUUGGGAUGUUAGGCAGAUAUUUUAAGCAACCCUGGUUUGGACCAUUGGAUAACAUCCAAUAGAGUUAUAAGGUAUUUUCAGAGAACAAAAGAUUACAUACUCACAUAUCGGAGGUCUAAUCAGUUAGAGAUCAUUAGGUAUACAAAACUCUGAUUUUGAUGGAAUAUGGAUACAAUAUUUUAUCACUAAGGUGCAAAUUGUGAAAAUAAAUUGCAGUUUUUUAUUCCAAUAGCAACAGGAGUACAUCAAAGUCAAGACAUAUAGACUUUAAGUUCCUGGUUGUUAAAGUAAAAGUUCAGAGUGGUUAGGUGCCUAUAAAGCAUAUUAGGGCAAACUCCAUGAUUGCAGAUCCGCUUACUAAGGGGCUACACCCAAGGUUUUUCAUGAGCACAUUGCUCAUAUGAGUGUAAUAUAUUUAAAGAUAUUUGGUUUUAGUGGGAGUUUGUACUUUUAAAUGCUUUUAUGUUAUAGACACAUUUUCAGUUAUUUUAGUUUACGGAUAUUAAGUUUAUUUUCUGCAAAAAUUAAAUUUAUUUGGUUUAUUCACACUCUGAUUUGUAAGGUUUGAUCUCACUAAGGAAGACUAGUUGGAAAUAGACAUGUUUAGAUCAUAUUGCAUGUAAUUUCCAUGCUACACAUUCAUACUUGAUCUAUGUCAUUUGGUUGUGUUAAUAUACAUGAUUAGGGAUGGAUUUAGUUAUGAUAUAUGUAACAAAAGUCGCUUUGGUUCUAUGUUAACAUAAUUAAUGGACGAGAUUGUUCGAAAUACAUUUUGAAUAUGAUAGUAAAAUUUUGAGCUCAUAAGGUUACAUAAUGACAUGCAAUUGUAGAUUAAUUAGUAUAUAUAUGUGGCCCAAGUGCGAUAUUGUUGGAAAAUAUGGACAUCACAUAUAUAAUAACGGUAAUUACAUGUUAUUAUUUACUAUCAGGAUAGGUUACCCAAAUUAAAAUUGUUUUAAUUUAGUUAAAGUUUUAUUGGGCUUUAAUUAUUAAAUAAAUUAUGGGUCAAAUAUGUGUAGAUACUCUAGUAAUUGAGUUCUAAUCAAAUUCUAAUUAAUGAUGGGAUAAUUAGGAAUUAGAACUAAUAUGACAAGGUUAAAAAUAUUAAGGUUAUGGUCCCCAAAUUACACACAAGAUAUCUUUUCUAAUAUUCCAUCAUUAGGAAAGAGAGAGCAGAUAUUCUUUGAAUUUCUUGUGUGCUAAUUUGGAAGACCAAAUCCCCAAGAUCCAGUAAAACUUCAAGGAACUCAUGGAUUCAGGUACGCUUUCGCAUCUAGUUUUGUUCUUGAUUUAUUCUUGAUGAUUUGACAUGAUAGAUCCCGGUUUAUUAAGUUUUAUUUUAGAUUUAUUUUACAAAUCUAACAAUGAUAUCAAUCGGUGUUCGACCAGUAAAUAUCCAUUUCGCCCUAAUUGUUUUCAAGAAAUCCAAGAGCUUUCCAAACUGCUUUCGAGGCAUUAACGAUAUUGUUAGGACAAGGAGGCUAGUAAUCAUGCACCGAAUCACAUCCCAUCCUAGAAUCACAUUCAUCCACAACUUUAGCCUUCACGCUUUUUCCAUUGCCAUGGAUAUUGAUAUACUUCAAACACCUCUUUUUGUAGUUAAACCAUCCAGUCGAAAGUGCCACCACAGGGUCAUCAUCUGAGUGGUAGUGGUUGCCACAUUCUCACAGUCUGCCACCAUCCCCGCCAGGCUUAAAGCUGUUAAUUAUCAACUUUGCUUUUGUAUGGCUGGACACAAGCGACGAACAUUUAUACGUUGUGUAAAACUGUAAUACCCCAAAAAUUACUACAGUAAGAAAGUAAGAUAUUAUCCUUGAUAUAGUAAAGUAAGGAAAUAAAGUGACAAAAAAGGAAAUUUUGAGUUAUGUCAACAUUGGAAAAUAUAUUAUGAUAUAUUAAUUCAAGAAAAAACUAAAUCGCAAAAGUAAGAAAAGUUUUGUGGCCCAAGAGUAAAUACUUAAAAUUUAAGGGGUUAAAGUAUAAAUAUAAAAAAUUUGAAGGACCAAUAGUGCAAAUAAUUUAAGGGUGGAAUGAUCUAGAAACUAAGGAAAAUGGAUGAAUUAGGACCAAAUUGAAUAGGUGAAGAAUUAUGAGGGACUAAAUCGCAAUUUUACCAAAUUAAGUGAUGACUCAAUGAUGGAAUUUUAAAAGAUAAUAAAGGGAAAAAUGGUCAAUUAGAAAAAGAGAGAACUCUAGAAGGCAAUGAUGAUAUUAGAGAUAUUUUGAUGAUAUUUUAUAAUUAUUUAAUUAAAUAAAUAUUAUUUUAUUAAUAUUUUAAUGAGAUAUUUUAUUAUUAUUUUAUUUAGUAUAUAAGGAAAGAAAGAUGAAGAAUUCUCUUCAUCUUUCCAUGCACCCACGUGAGAAGAGAAGAGAAGAAAUAAAUUUUCUUUUCUUUUCAAUUUGGUCCUUUUACCAAAAAAAUUCACCAUUUUCACUUAGAAAUCAAAAGAAUUUCCAUAGCUACUAAGAGAGUAAAAUAAUAAGGAGACUAUGAGGAGCUAGAAUAUCAAGUUAGAUUCAAGAAGUAGAAGCUAGAGGAGAGAAAAUCAAGUUAAAGAUUGAAAUCAAUAGAACAAGGUAAGAACAUCAAGAUUUUAAUAUAUUUUUAAGUUUGAUAUUAUUGUAAAAGCAUGAAAAUGAUGUUAAAGUAGAGUUUUAUUAUAUAAGGUUCUAUUUUCUUGAUAUGUUAGUGAAGGGAAAUAAGAGGAAGUGAUUGGAAAUAUUGUAGAGAAAGGAAAUGAGGGUGUUAUAAACUUAGUUAUCAAAAUUUUACACUAAAACAAUUUUGGACAGUAGCAGUAGUCUGACUUUGAAAAUUUACCAAAAAUUGUAGAAAUUGAAUUAUAGGUUAAUUAAAGUAUUAAAUUAAAUCCUAUUGAGUCUAGUUUUACAUAGAAGAAAUGGUGUAAGCAAAAGAAUUUCAUAUUAUGAGAUAUAUGAAUUUUUGUGAGACAAUGUCAGAUUGAUUUCGGGUUCCCUUGUUCUGAUUUUGGAAAAUCAUCAAAAAUUGUAAAAAAAAUAAUUAGUGAUUUAAAUUUAUAUGUUUAAAUUAUUAAUAAGUUUAUUUUCAAGAUCAACAAAUGGAAACAUAAUCUAAAUCCUGUACUAAGAGAUAAUUAAUUUUUAGUAAAGAAAGGUUGAAGCUGUCAAACAGCAGAACAGGGAUAAAUUUGAAGAUUUUACUGUACUUAUUGGCUAAAUAUUAAAUUCUAAAAUUUUUAUGGUAAAAAUAUAUUUGAUUUUAGUUUCAAAAACAUCAAGUGGAUCUUAAUUUAGAAUUUUGUAGCUAAAGAUAUAAAUAAUUUAGUGACUAUGACUCAAGUGGACAACUUUGAUAUGAACAUAAGUAAAUAGUGAAUUUAUAGAUAAUAUUACAUAUAAGCAUGUUAUAUACAUUAAGGAUGUGGAAUGGAGAGGAGGAAAAUAUACGAAUAUUUAGCUAGCAUGGGUUUACAUUAAAAAUGGCUAAUUUGCAUGUUUUAGGCUCAAGGACUAAAUUGAAUAAAAGUAAAAUUUUAGUGGUACUUUUGUAAAAAUUUCAAAUAUGACCAAAUUGCAUGAAAUGAAUUAUUUUAUUGUCUAAAUUAAUAUAUAUUGAAAGAAAUUAUUAAUAUCAAGUGGGUUUAGAGCUUUAAUUUUGUUAUAUGAUGAUAUUAUAAAGUGAUUUUGUAAAUAUUAAUGUUAAUAUCAAAUUGUGAAAAUAGUUAAAAUAUUAGGGUUUGGUAUUAAAUUUCUAUUUUAUUAAGGGUUGCAAGAUAGCCGAUAAUAUUUGGAUAAAUUAUUAAUUGAGAAAAAUUAGUUGAUUUGAUAGAUUAACUAGUUAAGGGACUAAAUUGUAAAAGUUGAAAAGCUGGGGUGAUUGUGUAAAUUUGAAAAACUGAAGGGUAUAAAUUGUGAAAUAAAUUGGAACUGAAAUAUAUGCUAAUGAAUGAGUAAUUUUAUAUUUUAGAUUAAGAUUCCGUAGAUACUUGUAAAAAAAGAAAAAUAAUGGAAUAGUUCUUAAACUCCUGCAAUUAUUACAAUUCAAUUCAGGUAAGUUCAUAUGUUUAAAAUUUCAUGAUUAUGUGUUAAUUUAGGACUGGUAUAAUAUAUUUAUUCAUAUUGUGUUGUUGAAAUUAAGAUUAUUGUAAAAGUAUGAAAACUAAAUUGAAUGUUUAAAAUGAGUAGAACGCAAGAUUGAGUACGAGCGUUCCACGGCAAAGAAUGAAUUGACGGAGAAGACCAUGGUUGGACCAUGGCAAUGUUUAAAUGUAAGACCAUAGCUGGGCUAUGGCAUUUUAAUGAAAAGACCAUAACUGAGUUAUGGCACUAUGAACGUAAGACCAUGGUUGGACCAUGAUAGUGUUUAUAUGUAAGACCAUAGUUGGGCUAUGGCAUUCUGAUGAUAAGACAAUAAUUGGGUUAUGGCACUAUGAACGUAAGACCAUGGUUGGACCAUGGCAGUGUUUAUAUGUAAGACCAUAGCUGGGCUAUGGCAUUCUGAUGAUAAGAUCAUAACUGGGUUAUGGCACUACGAAUGUAAAGGAUGAAUUGACGGAAAAUGUAAAGGAUGAUAUAUGAAGAAACAAUAAAAGAUGAUAUGUAUCAUGAAAUGUAUAUAUAUUAAUAUAUUAAUAUGUGAUACAUAAAAAUUAUGUAAGUUGAGACGAGUAUAAAUUCAAGUGUGACAUGUUGAGAUAAUAAGUUUAUCAAUGUUGAAUUUAUAUGAAAUAUGUUCAAGUAUGCUAACAAAUGUUGUUGUUGAUGCUUAGGCAAGUGCCAAGCUACUGGUUAAAUGGUAAUAUGUUUAUUUAUAUGAUGCGUUGAAAGGGAAGUGCUCAAAAUAAAAUAUGCUUGUGCUUAGGGGUGUUCAUUCGGUUAACCGACCGGUUAACUGACCCGAAAUAACAUUAACUGAAUUAACCAACCUUUCAAAAUCUUUAACCGUUAACCGAACCGAAAUUUUUUUAAAAAAAAUUAACAGAACCGAAAUUUUUUCGGUUAAUUCGAUCGAUUAACCUAAUUAACCGAAAAUUAUAUGUUUUUUUAUUUUUGGUUAAAAAUUAACCGAAUUACCCGAAUUAACCGAAUUACCCGAAUUACCCGAAUUAACCGAAUUACCCGAAUUAACCAAAUUAACCAAAUUGAAUCACUACGUAAUUAAAUUAUUUUUAGACUUUUAGACUUUAGUUUUAGUCUUAGUUUUAAAAUUUUAUUUUUAUUUAUUAAAUUAUUUGUAAUUUAAUUUUAUAAUUGGGUUGGGUUGGGUAAUUGGGUUGGGUUGAAUACUUGGGUUUAGAUUGGGUUUAGGUGAAUAGUGGGUCUAUUUAUAUAUUAUAAUUUUAUUUAUUAAUUUUUUCGGUUAACCGAAAAAAUUCGGUUAACCGACCGGUUUCGAAUUGAAUUAACCGUUAACCGAAAAAUCAAAAAAUAAUUAACCGACCCCCGACCGAAAAAAUUCGGUUAACCGACCGAAUUCGGUUAAUUCGGUCGAUUAACUGAAUUUUUUCGAUUUUACCCGAAUUUUGCACACCCCUACUUGUGCUCAUGAAAGAGUGGUAAGUUUUAAGUUAUGCAAUUUCUUAUAAAAUGGUUUAUCAUGUGAUUAAUUUUAAAAAGAGCUAUGUUAAAAUGCAUUAGCUUGUGGUUAUAGUGGUAUGGUAUUUUUAUGAUUGGUGAGUUAUGCAUAUGGAAGGAGUGAGGAAAGUAAAGAAAUGCAAAUGAAAAUUUAGAAAUUUGGAAUAGUUAAAUUUGUUGAAUAUACUUUAUGAAUAUUAGGGUAUCAAUAUUGGAUUAUUCUGGAUAUUUAUAAAUUUUUUAUUUAAAAUGAAUUGAUAUGAUUAAAGUUUAUACGAGCCUACUAAGCACUCAUUGCUUACGUAAUUAUUUUCCUUUACUUUUCAGAUUAUCGGGAGCUCGAUUAAGUUGGAAGCUGUUGGAGAUAUAUCACACUAUCCAUUGGUUUUAUCGGUAUUUUCAAAUUUUUAAUUUUAGUCAUAAUGGCAUGUAUAGGUGUUUUGUUUAAUGUUGGUUUAUAUGUAAAUUUUUGACAUUAGCCACUUAUCUUAGCUUGUGUUGAAUGCCAUGUUAUAGUUUGUAGAUUUGUGAAUUGGUGGGGCUAGGUUAGUAACAAAUUGGGUGAGAAAUAUGGCUUGAAAAUAGCCUAUUUUUAUCCACACGGGCGUGUGUCUCAACCAUGUGUGACACACGGCCAGGUGACAUGGCUGUGUGUCCUCUAUAUCUUAAAUUUACACAAAACAGAAUGCCCACACGGCCUGAGACACGGGCAUAUCUCCAAACUAUGUGAGUCACAUGGCCUGGCCAUUGGGUUUUUCCCUUUAAGCUUGUCACUGGGUUUGCAUGUAUCUGCUUCAACAACGAAACAAUCUGUAAUAAUUAAAACAAAGCAAAUGAAAAGGAAAAUAGUGGGAAAACCCUUGAUAAUAUUCAUAUUGAAUUUCUUUUGUUAACUCUUUGUUGAUUGGUGCCAAAGAACAUGAAGAUGUGGAGGGUUUAUAUAGAGAUCAGCCCUCACAAUUUUAUAAAAAGUAUUGGAAGAAGGUAAACAAUGUGUCACAAAAGGUUAAAAUUUGCCACAUUUAUGUAGCAAAGUUAAAACAUCAAAAAAUCAUCAUUGGACAAAACAAUAUGUGUUGGAAAAUAAAGGCAUAAUCUGAAAUUUAGUCAUUAAUGUUUACAUUUUCUAUUAAUUUGGUUCUUUUUCUUCUUCUUCUUUUACCUAAAUUUGGCCCUUGACAUUUGAAAAUGUGUCAAUUUUAACCAUCAACCUUUUGAAAAAAAUAGUCGAAUUGAUGUUUUUUUAAUGGAAAUACUGACUAAAAUGUUAAUUUUUUUUAAACAUAGCAGUCUGUAUGGCAAUUUACAUGUACUUCAUGAUUAUAUUUUUGAAUUUUUAUGAACUUUUAUGGUUUUGAUUUAUUUUUUUAUUUUUAUAAUUUAAUAAAAAAAUGUAAACGUUAAAACCUAAAUUUAUUAUUAUGUUGGAAUAAACUAUUUCAGCCUCUAUUUAAUAAUUGUUAAAUUUAUUAGGCAUAAUGACUUAUUUGUCCCUCCAACUUUCCAAAAAGGACAUUUUAACUCUCUAUUUAAUUUUUCACCUCUUUUAGUCAUUGAACUUGCAAUGUUUGGAUGAAAAAGUUAAUGUUUGUUAACUUUGCUGACGUGGCAUCGAAAUGGAAGUCCACAUGUAUGCCACAUUAGCAAUUAAUUAAUUUUUAAAAAUUAAAAAUAUUAAAAAUAUAUAUUUUAAUAUUUUUAUACUUUUUUGAAUUUUUUAUAUUUUAAAAACAAUUAAUUGUUAACAUGGCAUUUGCAUGGCAAUCCACGUAUAUGCCACGUUUGCAAAGUUAGUAGAUGUUAGUUUUUCCAUCCAUUUUGAGAUGAUUUGACAAACAUUGCAAGUUUAAGAGUUAAAAGAGGCGAAAAAUUAAAUGGAAGACAAAUUACUUUUUUGGUAAAGUUAGAGGGGCAAAUAAGUCAUGAUGCGCCAUUAUUAUAUGUGUAUUAUCAUGUGAGCUUAUUACGUCCAUGUAUUACUCACUAAAAAUGCAGUUAAUGAAUUACCAACUGUUAUUUGCGUUAAGACUGAAAUUUCAAAAUUCAUAAAAUUAUGGGGGCUUACAAUGAUUUAAUUGGAUAAAAUGGACUGAAUCUACAACUAUACGCAUGGUUUAGGACUAGUAAUUGAACUUAACUAAAUGGAUUUAACUGUUACUAUUUGAACCAAAACUAAACUUUCAAAUUUUGAAAAAAUACAGAAACUAAAAUUCACUAAUUCAAAAAAAUUAAGGACUAAAAUUAAUCAAAUAAAAGUACGGAAACUAAAUCCACAACUUCCGUAAAGUAGUCAUGGCUCUAAGUAACAAGGCUGUAAUCUUGUUUUCUGUGUUUAAACUUGCAAUUAUGUUUUAAAUUAUAAGAAGGUGAAAAAGAUAAGAUUAGAAUCUGACUAAGCAUAUAUCUAGUCAAAUCAAAAUUGUCCAUAAGGUAAUUACAUAAGUAUUGAUAUCUUGAUCUACAUAUUUUAAAAAUACUCCUUGUUAGAUCCAAAUCGAUAUUUAAUACCAAUAUAGUGAAAACUAAGCUUAUGGGAAGAACAUAAUUGAGACAAUACAAAUAUUUUGAGGACUCAAUUAAAAUGUUUGAAUGUUUAAAAAUCAAUUUAAAAUCUGAAAGAUAGUUUGAGAAUAUUUGGUGCAAUUUACCCUUAAUGCUUUAACAUUAUAGAAAGCAUACAGUGGACGACUCUUACAUUAAUAUUAAUUUAACUUAAAACACACAAGAAAAAUUUAUUUUAAUACAUAUAGACAUUAAAAAUAUAAUUGAAGAGUCAAUCAAUAUCCGAUCAGUAAAUAUUCAAAAGCCUUUUAAAUUGCUUUCAAAACAUCAAUAGUGUUGUUAAGACAAGGAGACUAAUAAUCAUAUUUCAAAUGACAUCCCAUCGUAAAAUCACAUUCAUCUGUGACUUUAUUGCUUUAUACUUUCAACUUCAAAAUAUCAAUCAUUGGAACAUGAAAUUAGGAUAAAUUUGUGACACUUUGGACUUCCAGGACAUAGUAUUAUUGCUUUUAACAUAUUAUCAAACAUACAACGUAUGUUGUAUGACUUUUACAUUAGUGUUGAUUUUAACAUUAACCCAAAUCACAUCUUAAAUCUUUAUUCAAUUGCAAAUGGAAAUUAAAAAUAUGAUUAAAAAAUCAAUUGGCAUCUGACCAGUAGAUAUUCAUUAAGCCCCAGUCGUUUUCAGGAACUCCAAGAGCUUUCCAGACUGCUUUCGAGGCAUCGACAAUGUUGUUGGGACAAGGAGGCUGAUAACCAUGCUCCGAAUCACAUCCCUUCGCAGAAUCACAUUCAUCCACAACCUUAGCCUUCACACUUUUUCCAUUUCCAUGGAUUGUUAUAUACUUCGAACACCUCUUUUUAUUGUUAAACCACCCGGUCGAAAGUGCCACCACAGGUUCAUCAUCCGAGUGGUAACGGUUGUCGCAUUCCAACGGUCAUCCACCUUCCCCACCAGCUGCAAAGCUGUUAAUUGUCAAUUUUCCUUUUGUACGGCUCGACACAGGCGGUGAACAUUUAUACGUUGUAUAAAACUUUCCUUCUUCACAACAAUUAGAAUCGCAUUGCCCUGGCGGAGGCUUUUUCCCUCUCAGCUUGCCACUGGGUUUGCAAGUAUCUGCUUCAACCAUGAAACAAUCUGUAAUAAUUAAAACAAAGCAAAUGAAAAGGAAAAUAGUGGGAAAUCCCUUGAAAAUAUUCAUAUUGAAUUUCUUUUGUUAAAUCUUUGUUGAUUGGUGCCAAAGAACAUGAAGAUGUGGGGGUUUAUAUAGAAAAGCAGCCCUCACAUUUUUAAAGUAAUUUUAUUGAAAGUAUCGGAAGAAGGUGAACAAUGUGACACAAAAGGUUAAAUUUUUCCAUAAUUGCG